GUGUGUGUGUGUAUAUAUAUAUACGGUCAUCUGCUAAGGAUGUCCUUAUUUAUUCUUAUAGUGCAUAUUUUCACUUUAAUCUCACUUUUCGAUCAAAUUUUUAUAUUUUCACCGUCUAGUCUUUAGAUACUAAUGUAUAGGUCAUCUCUGUAAAAUUUCAGCCAAUUUGGUUAUCAUUAAGGCACUUAAAUUCGAUUAAAUCAAUGGAUGAACAUAAUUCUGUCGAACUUGAACCGUUCAUGUUUAUAACUAAAAAACGCAAUUUUGAGUGCCUUAAUGAUAACCAAUUUAGCUGAAAUUUUGUAGAGAUGAUCUAUAUAAUAGUAUCUCAAGACUGGACGGUGGAGAUGUGAAAAUUCGAUCGAAAAGUGAGUCUAAAAUGGAAAUCCGCACCAUAAAAAUAAAUAAGGACAUCCUUAGUAGAGAAUGACUGUAUAUGUGUGUAUAUAUAUACAGGCCGAAUAUGAAGCGGACGUCCGCACGCCCUUAAAGUACGGACGUCGCAUGCAGACGUCGCAUGCGGACGUCCCUCCGUUCUUCUCCGUCCGGCCUUGACGACGGCUCGCCUCCACCCGAGCGGACGUCUCUGGCGUCCCCGACCAUUUUUCCUUCCCGGCGAGAUCGAUUUGAAGGUCUGAGCAGCAAUCUCCGCCCAAAACUUCAACCAAGAUCGAUCUCGCCGAAAAACUGGAAUUCAGCAGAUUCGUCGGGAAGGGAAAGUGGUCGGAGACGGCAGGGAUGUCCGCUCGGGUGGAGGUGCAUCGUCGUCUACGCCGGACAGAGAAAAAUGGAGGGACGUCCACAUUUUAAGCCCAGUGUGGACGUCUGCUUCAUAUUGUUUUCGUGUGUGUAUAUAUAUAUAUUUAUAUAUGUGGUUUUGCAACAAUGGGAUUUCGAUUUUACCGUACAUACUCGUGUGGGGGGAGAAUGCACGGAAGACUCCUAUCUAUGCCACUCCACCAAUAAUUCUUAAAACAAUCAUUGGGGACGAGCGUAAACAUGCAAACAAAAUGAAAUUCUUGUAUUCUAUAACUAUGAAAGUGAAGAAAGGAUUAGUAAGAGCUAAAUUGCUGCAUUUUUUAUUCGUAUAGCAAUUUCUCAUUUUAUAUAUAAUCGGGGACGCCAGAGGUGUCCGCUCGGGUGGAGGUGCGGCGUCGUCGGAGCCGUCCGGUGAAGAACGAAGGGACGUCCGCACUUUAAAGGCUGUGCGGACGUCCUCUUCAGAACGGCUCCGUGAAGGUGGACAAUUUAGGGAACUAAUCACACCCUCAAGCCCGAAGGGAAAUGGUCCACCCCACUCAAGGAACCACCCCCCAUCCCCUUAUUUGAAUUUGACAGUCGAUAAAGUGAUUUCUAAUGGUUGCUGGAACCUUUCUCUUGUUCAACAGUUUCUUAAUCAAGAUAUUUUACUUACUAUUUCCUCUAUUCCACUACCUUUACAUCCUUAUGCUGAUCAGUUUGUUUGGGGACUUAGAGCAUCUCCAACAGCUUCCCCAGAAUUUCUCUAAAAUGGGGAAGCAAAAGCUAAAAUCUCCAAAAAAAUUAUGCUUAAAAUCCAACAGCUUCUCCAUUUUAGAGAUUUCAGCAUUUAAUACAAUAAUAAAAUAUACUAUAUCAUUACUAAUUAUAACAAAAAAAUAUUAUAUUUCAUCGUAACAAUAAAAUACCCAAUAAAAUAUUAUACUGUUAUCUUGAAUUCGUUGGAGCACGUGAAAAAUUUAAUUUUGGAGAAGGAAGGCUUUGCUGCAAAUUUAGGGAAUGAAGACUUCUCUUUCUUCUCCAUCCCCAUUUUGGGGAAUGGGAUGGGGAAGCUGUUGGACCUUAAAACAGCUAUAUAUUCCCUAAAAUUGAGAAGUUCAAGAAAAUGAGGAAGCUGUUGGAGAUGCUCUUACAGGUUUUGGUCAAUUUACUAUAAAUUAAGUCGACCUUUGAGAUUCAAAAUUCUUAUUUGAAUGAUCAUAUUUAAGCUGCUAACUUUGAUGUCGAAAUUAUACAUUCCUCCUAAAGUCAAGUCGUGUUUUCAUCACCCAAUAUUCCAAGUACUUGUGCCUUUUGGAAUACUCAUGAUGAAACUAUUGAUCAUCUUUUUUGAGAAUGAUCUUUUGCUUCACAGGUGUGGACUCUUUCAGGCUUACCCGUACCAAAUCCUCAAGACAAUCAACGAAUACUUUCUUGGUUUAAAACUCUGCGAGCUCAACCACACUCAGAUGCCCUUAGCUAACUACCGGUUUGUCACUCCAUUUGGUCUACUCGGAAUGCUGUCAUUUUUCAGAAUCAAGUUGGAAGUCUGGGUCAAACUGUGGCCAAAGCUAUACAUCUAAUUCAAGCUUAGCUAAUAGGAUAAGCAUCUUGGUCUACCGACAUUUAUCAGAUGACAUAUCCACCUCUUUCUUUCAACUCUAAAAUUGAAUUUUGACGGCUCUGUCUUGCCUUCCCAGCGUGCAGCUGCUGGCGUUGUAGUGUGUGAUACCUUUGGUAACCCUAUUAUAUAUAGCUUUUUUCAAGAAUCUUGGCGUUCUUAAUGUACUUUCUGUUGAAGCCCUUGGCUUACGUGAAGGCCUUCACCACCUUCUUUCUGGUACUUCUAAGUUUCUAAUUGAUGCCUUAAAACAUUGCACUGAAGUUCCUUGGUGGACUAAGUUUCUUGUCCAAGAUAUCAGAAACUCAAUUUCUCAGUUUGAUUCAAUCUCCUUUGUUCAUGUGUGGAGAGAAACCAACUUAUUGGCUGAUGCCUUAGCUAAUUUAAGCCGCUCGUUUCCUUCCUUUGCUUUAUGGUCGGAUCAGUUACCUAUCUCGGUGCAGGCUGCAUUUCACUUUGAUCAAGUCGGAGGCGGGUGUUUCAUUUUAGAUUUUUCUUUGUAUUUUUUUUUUCUUCGACAAAAAAAAAAAAGAAAACGAUUUUUUUAAUUUUUUUUUUUAACAGAACUAAAAAACGGUUGCACACGCGCGGCAUUCAAAUAUAACCAUAUCAGCAGUCAGCAGCUAAAUAAAUAACGAAAAAGUGACAAAACCCCAUUCAGCUGUCUUCUCCAAAAUCCCCAAAUUCUCAAAUCCCUAGAUUCCCGAAUCUACCAAUCCAAUUCCAAUUCCAAUUCCAAUCCCUCUCCGAAUCAAAUGAGACGAUCCGUGAUCUUCCUUCUCCUAUUCGCUCCCCUCAUCAGCUCUUUCGUCUCCGCCGAUGACACCUCCCUCGCCAAUCCCGACUCCGGCGGCGCCGCUCUUCAGCUCUUCAGCUCUCUCCUCCCGCCUGCACUGUAAGUCCUCCAUUUCACUCGUUUCUCUUGUUCUUGUGGAUUUUCCGAUUCUGAAAUCUGGUGGCAGCAGGAAUAAUGGGGCGCUUCUAGUCACAUUGGACGGGAAGGUGGUUUCGGUGAACCCGAAGACGAUGGAGAUCGAAUGGGCCUUGUCCUCCGGUCCCCGGAUUCAUUCUUCCUAUCGAAACGUUUCGUAUUUCGACAACUGCAGGAGUGAUGAUCACUUUUUCGUUGACAUUGGUGAAGACUGGGCGCUGUAUCGUCACAGCAACAGCAAGGGGAAAAAGGUUAGCCAGCCAAAUCUUUGAUAAUGUGUUUGAAUUUAUUUUCCGGAGCGAACUGAGAGUUGAUAGAAAGUUAAAAGUGUCUUUAUUGAUGUGUAUUGGUAUGCCAGAAACUAGCGUCGAGUAUUAGAGAGUAUGUGGCGAGUACUCCGGUAGUUUCGGAGGAUGGAGGAGUCACGUUGGGGUCGAAGAAGACUACUGUGUUUGCUGUUAAUGCGGUGACCGGAGAAGUGAUUCGUAGUUUUAGGUUGGGUGUUGAUACUGCUUCCGCUAGUUUGGGUGUGGAACGCACUGGUGUUGAGGGCUUGGAAACAUCUGGAUUGGUGGUGCUUUAUCUUGAGAGAACAGAUUACAUGCUGCAGCAUUGUACAGCCGAGGGCAAUCUUUUGUGGAAAUUGGAAACUGCAGAGUUUGAUGCUGAUUUUCGAUAUCCUAAAAUUGGAAAUGGGCUUGGUCUAGAGAACAGGCUCAUUGCUAACUCAACAGUGCCUUAUCUGAAGAAGAAGCCCCUUGUCAUCCGGGUUCCUUAUCCUAGCUCGGUGGAAUCUCGUUCUGUAAUUGAGGGUCUAACUGGUGGGUAUAAUGGAGGCAAACCUCUCCCUCUGGAAGGUCCUCAGGACAAUCUUCUGGCUCUGCCUUUUGAGAAAGGUCGUGUACCUCCUCACAACAUCGAAGGCAAAGAAAUGCUUGCUUUGCCGUCUCUUGAACUUGUGGACUCUAGGAUCUUGGCUCUACCUGGUAGAGAUGUUGGUAAACUGGACGUGAAAAGCUCAAUGGUUGAAUCUGUUACUAACUUCCCCAUACAAUCUCUUUUGGUAUUAUUUCUCACCCUGUUAUCCAUUCUGGGAUACAUCUUCCGCUCUCUGACUGGAAAACAACGUAAAUUGAAAGUGGUGUCUGAGGAUACAAAAGCGCAAGCAGUGGCUCCCAAAAAGAAGAAAGCUCGAAGAUUGGGAAAUAAUAAGAAGAAUAACAGUUAUGAGAAAGAUGCCGGAAAUUUUUCGGAUGGAUAUGGUGAAUCUAAUAGACCCGCACAUGAAACAAAAUUGCUCUUGUCGUCUUCUGAUUUUGUUGAUCGUGAGACUGAGGGACGUAGGAUUGGCAAGUUACUUGUUUCCAGUAACGAAAUUGCUAAGGGGAGUAACGGUACCAUUGUUCUUGAGGGAAUCUAUGAUGGUCGUCCCGUAGCUGUUAAACGCCUCGUGCGAACUCACCAUGAUGUGGCUUUGAAAGAGAUUCAGAAUCUUAUUGCAUCUGAUCAGCAUCCAAAUAUUGUUCGUUGGUAUGGCGUGGAGCAUGAUCAAGAUUUUGUUUAUCUAUCCUUGGAGCGUUGCUCAUGUAGCUUGAAUGACUUGAUUUAUUAUUACUCGGAGUCAAUUCAAGGCCAAAUUAUCAACAAGGACGAGGAUCCUCACUAUUUGGCCGAGUAUCGCAUUCAAUUGCAGGCGAUCAUGGGAAAGAACAAGAAUGUUGAAUUGUGGAAGACAAAUGGAUACCCUUCACCCCAGAUGCUAAAACUAAUGAGGUUAGUUUGAUGUCUCUCAAAAUUUCCUUCUGGUUUCAAAUCUGUUUUGUUAUUAUGGGAUAAAGAUUGUUUUCUUUUGUCCUCUAGUAAGUAUCUAUAAUGAGCAAGCUCUACGCAAUCAUUACAAGUUUUUUCUGUAUUCCCACUGUAACUAGUUUGAGAGGUAUCCCUUUGGGAUUAGGAUUGUUACCACUUCUUCUAUAUUUUAGAGGAGUUCUGAUACUUGAGUUAGGGAUUGUGGUAAAAAAGUGUCACUAAAUUCCAGCAACUUACAUUAGGAGAAUCAUUCAAAUUGAGUCAUCUAAAUUGAUGUUUUUAAUUUAAUUUCAAUGUAAAUGGCUUCUUAUUGUUGGAUUGCACUCUUUAAGCUGCUCUCACUAAAGCUCAUAUCAAGUGUGUAUUCACUAAUAUGUAUUUUUUAUUUUACUUUAUCUUUAUUGGUCUUUUUUAUAGUUGAAUAAGUUACUUGGGUUUAGGGUUUGACAAUAUCAUUAUAUUUGCAGUGAUCUUGUUUCUGGACUUGCCCAUUUGCAUGAACUUGGAAUUAUACAUCGGGAUCUAAAACCUCAGAAUGUUUUGAUAAUCAAGGGCAGAUCGUUACGCGCUAAGCUUUCAGAUAUGGGUAUCAGCAAACGCCUUCAAGGGGACAAGUCUUCCAUUACCCAGCAUGCUACUGGUAAUCAUUGGGGACUAUUUGAAUUGUGAUGUUUGUUAAUUCUGAUUCAUACAAGUGCUGGUUCAGUGAGUUGGUUGUUUUCUUUCUAUUUGUUUUCUAUUGCCGUUUGGUUUUACAUGAUCACAAGUAGUAAAAUGUGUGUGUGUGUGCGCGCGCUUGUGUAUUUACUCUGCAUAUCAAUAUUUCUUUAUUGUUGUUGAUUGCAGGUUAUGGGAGUUCAGGUUGGCAAGCACCCGAACAACUUCUUCAUCAGCGGCAGACUCGUGCAGUAGAUUUAUUUAGUUUAGGUUGUCUCCUCUUUUUCUGUCUCACUGGGGGUAGACACCCUUAUGGGGAUAGUAUCGAGCGUGAUGUGAAUAUAGUGAACGAUCGGAAAGACCUAUUCUUGGUAGAGAAUAUACCAGAAGCAGUGGAUCUUUUUACUCAUCUAUUGAAUCCCAACCCUGACAUGAGGUAAGGUUCUUUUGGGAUAGAUAUACUAUAGUUUUGUGGUUCCAUCAUUUCUCAAUCACCUAGCGCUUCAUGCAGACUGUAUAGCCCCUCCCUCCCUAAAAACACACACAUUUGAGUCAUAUGUCUGAACACCUAUUUUUUUCAAAUUGUCACUGCCAUUUGUAUAUGUACUUGAUGUCUGGAAGUUGAGUAUUUAGUUUGUGAUGUUGAUGAUGUGAAUUUGAUAUAUUGCUAGGCCAACAGCCGUGGAUGUGUUGCAUCAUCCCUUUUUCUGGAAUUCUGAGACGAGACUUUCAUUUCUGCGUGAUGCUAGUGAUCGAGUUGAAUUGGAGGAUAGAGAGACUGCAUCUCAACUCUUAAGUUCAUUAGAAAGUACUGCAUCAGUUGCUCUAAAUGGAAAGUGGGAUGAAAAGAUGGAGCCUGCAUUCCUCAAUAACAUUGGUCGCUACAGGCGUUACAAGUUUGACAGCAUCCGUGACUUGCUGCGUGUAACAAGGAACAAGUUAAAUCACUACAGAGAACUUCCCCAAGAAAUCCAGGAAUUAUUGGGGACAGUUCCUGAGGGCUUCGACAGUUAUUUUUCAAGUCGAUUUCCGAAAUUAUUAAUCGAGGUGUAUAAAGUGUUGUACAAGUACUGCAAAGAGGAGGAAUUUUUUCGCAAGUAUAUAAAAGGUAAUCCGGUGUAAUCUGUUGCCACCACACUGCAUUAGCUUUAUAUCCAUGAAUCAAGUUACUUGUGUAAUUGGAAAUGUAUUAUACAAACUAGUGUAAAAGUAAAUUUAUAAGAUUUACUAGUCGUAAAAUCUAUACUUUCAUGGUUUCUUCUCUGGUUUUUGGUCAUUUACGCACUAUCAUUUUAUCAGAUGCACUGAUGCAGUAUUUUAGAUGAACUUUCUAAUUUGCCCAGGAUGUAAACAAAUUUGAACACUACUAAGAGGAUGACAGAGUUUCAUUAGUAAUGAUUGAAUCUAUCUUCUUGGUUUUUUUAAAUUUUUUUCUAUUUUUCACCGAACAAAGCUAGUGUCGGUGUGGAACCAGUCAAGCUCACACAUUUGAAGAGCCUGCAACAAAGAUUUACUUUCUGACUAUUCCACCAUCUCUUUCUGUUACCCUCAUCCCUACCACAUGAACAAUACUAUUCACCAUCCUCAAUUUGAAAUGGCUGAGAUGACCCUACUUAGUACUCUGGUAUCCUUUUACCAUUUCCUUCAAUCAAGCAAGAGAUGUUCGUCCAACAAUAUACUGGGUCAAUCUUGUAAUUUGUUAGAAUGACCAAAUGACAGACCAUUUCCACUUAGAAAGUAGAAAGUGCAAAAGUGAUGGAUAUAUAGUUGUUCACCCUUUAAGGCUCAAACACAACUUGAACUUGAGCAACCAUGGCUACCACCCAGCUACUACUCCUCCUCCUCCCUUUCAUUUUGAACCCUUUGUCUAAUUUAGCUGUUUCCGGAGUCGGCAUUAACUACGGUACUCUCGGAAACAACCUCCCACCACCAAAAAGAGUAGCUCAGCUCCUUCAGUCCACUCUCAUAGACAAGGUUAAAAUUUAUGACACCAACCCUGAAAUCCUCCAGGCCUUCUCCAACACCGGGAUCGACCUCAUUGUCGCCGUGGAGAACUCCCGGGUGGCCAACAUCAGCUCAGACGUGUCCUCGGCGGAUGAGUGGUUCGCUACUCGUGUCCUGCCCUUCAUUCCUGCCACUUCCAUUACAUCCAUUGCUGUAGGAAACGAGUACCUAACUUCAAACAGUGAUCACCAAGUGCUUGACCCUGCUGCUCUUGUGCAAGCAAUGCAGAACUUGCACUCGGUGCUCAUAGCCCGAGCACUCGACCGAAAGAUCAAGAUCACAACUCCACAUAGCAUGGCCAUUUUAGCCUCCUCAUUCCCUCCUUCAGCUUCAACUUUUGCUACAGAUCUCGUACCAACUAUGACUUCCAUAGUUGCAUUCUUGGCUGACACUGCUUCCCCUUUUAUGAUCAAUGCUUACCCUUAUUUCGCAUACAGGUAUCAUUUGAUCCACAAUCAGAUACUGUGUUUCAGUUCAUUUUCCUAAAUAAUAUCACAUCAUAUAUGUGUUUGCAAACAUUGUUUCUUCUUAACAUUAUACUUAUUACCAUGCCUGCAGGGACAACCCGGACAUGGUUAACCUACAAUAUGCAUUACUAGGAAACUCAACAUCAACCGGUGUGCGUGACCCUAAGGGGUACACAUACUCCAACAUGUUGGAUGCACAAAUUGAUGCUGUUCGGUCUGCGGUUGAUGCACUGGGACUAGGACCUCACCGGACAGUGGAGAUUAUGGUAUCCGAAUCCGGGUGGCCAUCCAAAGGAGACACGGGUGAAAUUGCUGCCACCCCGGAAAAUGCCAGGACUUACAACACAAGGCUGAUCGAACGUGCCCAGUCCAACAAAGGCACACCUAUGAAGCCUAAAGACAAGAUUGAGGUGUUUGUGUUUGCCUUGUUUAAUGAGAACAAAAAGGAAGGGGGUGCAAGUGAGAGGAACUUUGGGAUUUUUAAUGGUGAUGGGUCGAAGGUGUAUGAGGUUGAUUUGAGCUGCCAGUUUUGCAGUGGUGAUAGUGAUGGUGGUGGUAAUGGAGGGUUUGGUGAGAAACUGUCCGGUGCGGUUAGGGGACCGUCGGUUUGGUGCAUUGCCAAGCCACAUGCUGAUGAGAAGGUGCUUCAGGCUGUGUUGGAUUUUUGCUGUGGUGGUGGUGGUGUGGACUGCAGAGAGAUCUAUGACAAUGGGGAUUGCUUUGAGCCUGAUAAGCUGCUUGCACAUGCAUCUUAUGCUAUGAAUGCUUAUUACCAGAUGCAUGGAAGGAACUACUGGAACUGUGACUUCAAGGGCACUGGCUUAGUAACUUUCAGUGAUCCAAGUAAGCAUACACACCAACUAUCUUCCAUGCUCUAUUUUGAACUCUUACAUCUUUACCUUUUUAUGUGUUCGUCUAUGGUACAUUACUGCAUUCAGUACAAGACUCCAUCGCAAGUUACUAAAUGAUAAAGAGUACUUUCAUGCAAUUUAGAAUAGCUCGGAACCAAGAACUAGUCUAGCAUGAAUGUAUCGAUAAGUUAAGAUGCAUAACAUAACUAUAUAUAUCAUAACAUAACUAACCACCAUUUACUUUUCUGUCAUCUGUUUGUAUCAGCUUAUGGGAGAUGUCGGUAUCCUCAACAGUAGAUCAAACAAGGAAGAAUGACAAAGAGCCUAAGGUGGUUGACAGCUACCUAGAUCUGUUCACUCUUCAAUAUUGUUAUGGAAGUGAGACCUGAGAUUUAUGUGGCAGAAUUAACAAUCCAGCCUUUGUUUGUCAGUACUCACUACUCAGUACCCAGUGUAAAAGAAAGAAAAGUGUGAAUGUGGUUCUCAAGGACUUUGAACUUUAGGCUGGUUUGUCUCCUAAAAAGGAGAAGCCUUUUUUCUUGGGUGCACAUGGUAAAAAGUAACAUGUCUCCACAAUCAAAGGCUUUCUUGUUUAGAAAAAAAAAAAAAAAAAAAAAAAGUUAACUACCUCUUUUAGGAUAUGGAAUCUUUUCUUCUGUUUCUGCCCUUAAUCUCCUUACUGAUCUAAGACCAUUUCUAGGCUCUAAGGGCCUAAUUAGUAGUCACUGUCAAUUUCACAGAUCAAAGCAAUGGGUAAUUUAACAGAUGAAAGUAUAAGAUGCACUAUCAAUUUACUAUUAAGCUUAUGGCUAUCAGGAUAUGAAAUUCAUGCAGCAUGACUGCAGCUACCUCUUAUUUCAUGAUCACAUACAGUUUCAGAGAACCUCACAGAGAUGUCUAUGAAUUCUUGCCACACCUAACGUAUUAUUCUCACGGUUUCUUAUCUUCAAUUAGACAGAAGAAGGAACACUGGAUCAUUGUUCGACAUACUGGGCAUAAAUUUCAUACAAAUAGAGCAAGAUAUCAAGUUCAGAAGACAAGGACUUAAUAUAGAGAACUCAAAAUAAUACCACAAACACCAUGCUAAUAGCUAAUAAUGCUGGGGCAGGCUUGGAUUAAAUUAAAACUUUAGAAUGCUGAUAUUCCCCGACUGGUUUUACAUCCUUUACACACUAAGACUGCCAAUUUAGGCACAAUCAAUUUCAGGGAAAUGGGUGUACAACAAUUUGUUGUGAGUGUGAAUUUCAUGAAAGAUGACUGACCAUGCGAAGAAUAAGAAGAUAGAAACUGGUCAUUUGUAUUGAUGUUCAAGAUCAGUGUACUACGUUUUAUCUCUGAGAAGCUCAUCUCUACUAUGGAAUAUGACAAUCUGUAAGAGAUGUGGCACAGCUGCAUAUUUACGUCUUUUUCUUUUUCUUUUUUCAGGGCCAUACUUUCCCAGAACCCAACAGAUCCCAAGAUAUCUUGUCACAGCACAGUUAUUCACAUUACGAAUGGGAAGAAGAAAAUGCUCAAGUACAUUGGAUUUGUUGAGCUUAAACUUCAUAUGAAGUAGAAGAACACAAAUAAAUAACUUUAAAUAGAAGAAAUCACAUUUAUGUUUGCAUGUACAUGUAAUGAUACAAUAACCAAGUUAAUAUUGCUUCUAUCAUUCGUUACUGUUAGUUUCUUCUUUGUGAUUCCACCAAUACUCAUUAUUGGCAUGCCACUAAAAUAGGAUUGGUAAUAAUUGAAUUAGAGUUUAAGAUGAACUAAUCACUUGCUAAGCAUAAGAACUGACCUGUAACACAUACAGCAAUGUCAUAAAAGUACAGUAAUACUUCAUGACCAUGCUUUCCCAGAACCUAACAAAUCUUAUGAAAACGUGCAGUAUAGAAGCUGUGUAUGACAGAAAUGUGAUUUUUCAUAGUCGUACUAUCACAGAACCUAACAGAUAUCCCUACAAAUGCUUGCCACACCCACGAUAAUUGUUACUGCUUUUGGUCUUCAAUUUCAAAGGGAAGAAAGGAAUCAAUCAUGUCAUUCAAAGCUCAUAUACUAUAUUUGCGAGCAAAUGAAUUUCUAGGAGAGGAAAGGUGUUUUCUAUUUGGUAAGUUAAAAGAAAUCCAAAGUAUAAAUAGAUAAUCAAUUCUCUUAAAAUUGAAAUUUCCUCCGGUACUAUCGUCCAAUUUACUCAAUCUCAAAGUUAUAUCAACUUGGCCUAUUACCAAGAAAAAUCUAUACCAUUGCAGAUAUCCUAAUUCUUUUGAACUCUAUAACUCUGCACUCACUACUUAACAUAACAAAAAACAAAACAAGACGAAAAAAAACGUCUGCAAGGAACUGAACCAUUUACCAGUGAACUUUUUGUUUAUCUUUUCCUUUUGGUUCUACAUCAGAAUGUUCAACUUAAUAACAGUAAGGAGUGAAACUGGACUCAACGCUUGUCCAAAAUAUGAGACAACCAAACACCAAAUGAAUUUCUUCUCCGAAUAUAAAAUAGUUAAUUAUUGCGGUCAAUAGGCAGAGUAUAUAAUAUAUGCUUUACACUAGCAACUAGAUUCCAUAAAUUCCAUGAAUCAAUAUUGUUCAGCACAUGUUCUUAGAAUCAGUGAUUCAGAGUACACUAGUAGCUACUAUGGCAUAAUUAGGUAUGGUCAGAUACUCAUAUUAUAACUUACCUGUAAUGGUACAAUUGUGAUGAUCUACCAAUGAGUUAACUGCUGGACUUGAUGUCACCCUCGCCCAUAUCAGUCAUUUCUGCUUGUUUCUUCUUGGGAGUCCAACCCAACUUACCAUCUUUAUCGUUGUCGGAUAGUGAUCUAAUAACUUUCCUUUUUUACUUCCACUAUUGGACUGGUCAGCCUUUUUAUCAAUUAUUGAUAAAAAUCGCCGGAGUCGCCCAGAUUGUGAGACACCAGGACUAGUUAAAACACUCUGAGGUGGGUCAGCAUGACGUAGCUUGUUCAUAAUUUGCAAAAAAUAUACAAGGAGAGCAAUGAAGCAAGCAAUUCCACAUAUGAGAAAGAGGCCCCAAAAGCUUCUGAGUUGAAGCUGGUCUGAUUCAAUUUCAGUGCUCUCAAAACUGCAAGAGCUUUGCAUCAACCAUUUAUCAUGGAUCCGUUGCAGAUCACCAUUCUCCGAUAAUUGUAGAAUUGCAGUUGAAAUGUCAACAGCUAAAGGAGAAUCUCGUGGAAAUGCCUAUUAUGGACAAGAAAACAAAAAAAGUUGAUAAGUUUUGAACUACUCAUCUACAUUAGGCUAACAUCGAAAAGAUCUAAUACACCUGUUUUCAGAAUAAUAAUGCUUUAAGAACAGAGACUUACAAAACCCCAGCCGCUUUUCGUGAACUCUUGACCUACAACCCGAAACUUGCACUGUGUUGAGAGGAAUAGCUCAACAUAAGGACGUUCAUCAACCACCGCAGCAACACCUCCCUUUUUAGGACCAAGCUGAAGUGCCUCAGCAUAGGCUAGAGGAGAGCCAAGGGCAAUGAGCCUGGACUUGGAUAUGCCGAGCUCCUCACUCAAAUAAUGCUCAGCAAAGGAACCCACUUGAUACCCGAUUGGCUCACCACUGUUUUUCAAACUUUCAAUUCCUUUGAUAGGAGAAGAUAGCUGCUGUACUGUGAGGAUUGAUGUCAGACUAGCAGUGUAGCUAGAGUUGAUUAUCAAAACCACAAAUAGCCAUAUAAGUAGCACUACUCGACCAAGGGUGCUCACAGUGUUCUCUCCUGCAGAUGGGGCAAAAGGACCAACUCAGUUAAAUAAAUAUGAGGAAAAAGGAACAGCCCUAGUAAUACAGAAUUAUGAUACAAAAAUCUAAGUCUCACUGUCCAACUUACUAUGGGCAAAGAAUAGAGUUGAGAGGCUAAACCUGCAAGGUUGAGAAACAAGAUUACAUAUUAGAAGCCAACAAUUAUUAGGAAGAGGAAGAUGUCAUCUGUCAUCAUGUAGACCCAGAUUCUGACAGUCUUAGUCUGACAGUCUUAGGGAACCUAAGACUAAAAGAGAUAACUAAUGACAAUAACAUCAUAUUCUUGGGCCCUCUCAACAAGAUGGAUCAUGGAAUGGGGAAAAAUAGCAAGUCUAUUAAUUUAGCACCAGGAUGUGCUCUAGAAUAGAGUCCCAGGUGCAAAAGGAGAUCACACAAUUCUUACAUACAUAUACUAUGAAUCAUACAGACAAGUAAACAAAAAAAAAACAAAAAAACAGAUGAAAAAGGAACUUGAUCAAGUGCGCAGGUGUUUCAUCUCUAGCAGCUUGAACCAUAUGUUGACCUUAGCCCUCUUCAACCUUAGAAAAGUUUUUUGCGCACAAAUCCAUUUCUUUCCAGAAUCAUUUUAAGGUUAACUAUGACAGGCUUCCUCUCUUUUAUGUGAAUUAUGUCUACCUCUGAGGAAACUCAAAGUUGACAACCUAUACCAUGAAAAACUUUCAAGGAAACAUUCUCAAAAAUGCUUCAAAUACAAAAUUAUCUUCAUUUUUUUAUUUCACUAUUGUAAUCCAAAUUAUGUUCCAUAUAGGAUAUUAGAUCACAAUCAACAACCAGAUCCCAUCUCUGCAUCUUUCCCAGCAGAAAAUAUCAAUUAGAUCUUUUGUAACUGAGAUGACGAAAAAUUCUCAUUUCAUCUGAUACCUACACUAGCUUGACCCUACUGUCUUCAUGGCAUAUGUGAUAUAGUAUGAAAACAGAUUCAGGAACUCAAAAAAUGAUAUAUGGACAUGAAACUAAGGUUUACCUGAAGGCCAGAUUUACCAUUCUAAAUCACUUUCUUAGUCACUUGGGAUUAAGGUCAGGUGUUGAUCACAUUAGGAUUUUAAGGGAAAACUAUUGGUAAACAGUUUGUACAAGUUAGUAAUGUCCUGAUGAGAUUUUAACUAAAGAACUUACCACAAGAUAGUUAUAAGUUGCUUCUUAGGUGGACCCCUGAAUUCAUCAUUCAUCCUAUGCUCCAAAAUCCAUACAACUAUACCAAUAACAAGAAAGGAAGCAGCAGUGACUAUCCACAUGUGUGCCGUAAAUGGUCGAAGGAAGGCCCAAGCACCAGAAUUCAUUUUUUUAAAGGGGGCCACAACAACAAGUCCAGAUGCAGCAUAUGGCUGUGUAAAAUCCACAAUCUUCGUUCGAUUUGUAACAAUGGCAAUGUCACCAAUAGCAGCAUCAAAGACCUGUAAAGUAUAAGUGAGAAGAUUAGUCAAUGAAUGCACACACCACACACACAUCACACAUGUUGACCAAUCGUGCUUGCCCUUUUAUAUUUAAAUUGUCAGUCAUAGCAUAUCCUACUCACCCCAGUUGUGAUAGAUAUCACAAGCUCUGUGUAGCUUGGAUUUUUCAGACCAUCUCCAAAAGGGAUAAACUUGCAUGGAACAGCAUAUGGCAACAAGUUUACAGCAGCAUUGAAUACAUCUAUGCAGAAACCCUUGAAAGUAUCAGUUCCCUGAACUGGCAUUACAAAUUCCCGGUAACUGACCCGAAUAGGCACACCAAUUCUCAAGAGUUUCCCAUCGUUUGGGAAAACCCAACCACGGGGCUUCGUUAAUGUCUCCCCUGGCCAGACAACACUAUAUAACUGUUGAUUUGCACUGGAACGAUUAGCUGGCUUUGAAUAGAGAGUCUCAGGAGGUACAGUUGAUAACCCAGAAUAGUUGGACCAGUAACCAAUUCGUCGAAACCCAGUUCCAACCACAUUAAUAAUAUCAUAUGCUGGAAGAGCAAGAGCCCUUUCUGAAUCAAACUUGAUGGGACCUGUCAAACCAACAAGGUUACUUUGCAAUAUGUUCUUCAACAGGAGUGGUCCAUCAUCAAAAAUGCUCAUUGCGUCAAGGUGAAGGCUACCACCUUGUUCUACAGCUUCUAUCCUAGAAUCAUUAGAGAAUGAAAUAACCCCACCCUGGUUGAAAAAAGCAUCAAUAGCAUGAGCUACCAGCCAAACAGAAUCAUAAGCAUGAAGCCCAUAAGUAUGCAGUCCCAGAGAACCACCAGUUAUCUUGUUCCACUUAGAAAAGAAGGCCCUCUUUCUAUCUGAAUCUGGUGUAUGUAGCCGCAAAACAAGAACUCCUUGCAAUGUAUCCAUAAUUUCAGAAGGAAGAGGAAAAGCAGAAUCUAAAACAGAUGAAAGCCAAUCUGUAGCUAUCCAUACAAAACCAUCACCCGUCAUUUUAAGAUACUGUGCCACAGCAAGAACCAUGAAACCUGAAUCAGCAUUCACAUGAAGAACUAUAACUCGAGAUUCCAAUAAGGCAACCUUAAUAAGCAGAUCCAUGAUGUCACUCCGAUUAGCUGCCGGUCCAGGGGGAAUUGCCAACUUGUAUGAAAUUUUACAGCGUCUCUCAGCAAGUUUAUCAUCUAAAGCUGAUAUGCCAUUACGGCCGUAAUCAUCGUCUACAAAAAUGGCAAUAACAUCUCUCCACCCAUAAUGAUCAACAAUUUGUGCAACUGCAGUCAUUUGAUACAAAUCACUCUGUGUUGUCCUAAUAAAAUAUGGGAACUGAAGGGAUGAGAGAGUUGGGUCUGUGGCUGCAAAUGACAAUAGUGGUACUUGGAGUUCAUUUGCAACAUGGGAUACAAUAUGUGCAACUACAGAAGAUUGUGGGCCUAUAAUGGCGACGAUAUCAGUCUCCAUGAAUUGCAAAGCUGCAAUGCACAUGAUUAAUGUUAUAUGUAAUUAUCAUUAAUGGACUUCCUGAAACAUAAUCUCGACUAUGAUACCCAGCAAACAAAGAACCAAAAUCAACCCAAAGUGUUAGAAGCAAAAGUAAAUUACCUUCAACCAUUCCAAGAAACCCACUGCAAUUGGUAUUCUGCAUUUUCACAACAAGUUUGGUCCCAUGGAGAAUGCUGAAAUUGGAGUUCACAUCUUUCACCGCUUCCUCAAUAGCAAUCUUGGCAACUUUACCAAUCGUAGAGUCCAUCGUGAAAAGAGCUCCAAUGUUGACCACAGCUGGUCUUGAAGAAACAUUCUUACUAGACCCAAAUGAGAACACCCCAAGAUAAAGAACCACCAAGGGACAAACCCAAACCAAUUCCAUCUUAAAUGACAACAUCCUCACUGCAUCCCCAAUUGAAUCAUGAGCACCAAGAACUGCCCAUCAAAGCUCUCAGUUUGAGAUGAGCACAGUACUGCAUCAUCUGAAAAACAACAAGACAAUCUAAGAAUGCUAAACCCAAAACCUUAUUCUCGUAAAGUCGAAAAUAACAAGGGAAACCAAACACUACACGCUCUGGUUUUUACAUAAAUAUUGGACCCAGAACCUCAUAUUGCAUCAAUUCAUUGCAUUUCUUUCUUGGGUUGUUUCACAUGAUAGAAUGCAAUGCCAAACCAGAAGGCAUAUCUUGUACUGUUUAAAAGUUAUGCAAUACAAACUAAAGUAACCAUCUUUGUGAAUUAGAAACCAGAAUCAAAAUAUCUAUUUCGAAAAAACAGCUAGAAUCGAUUCAAAGCAUAUAUCUUUAAUAGUCUACUGAAAAGUCUGAGGCUCAUUGAUGAAGCUAAGCAUAUAUAGUUAUGAUAGAGUUACGUGAUGCAGCAAAAGAAUGGAAAGAAAGCAGAGAAAGAAUGAGACCCACAUGACAAACGCACCUGAAAGAAGAAAUAGAAGCAGAGAGGAAUCUAGGAAUUUCCUUUUUGGGGAGAAAGAGUGGCUACAGCAACAACAUGGGAGGUUUGGAAGAUAUAACACUGAUUGGAACAUUUUGCACAACAUAGAUGACAUCUGAAAGCAGAUAUUUCACGUGCGGUAAAGGAAUAUGAGAAUUUCACUUGCUUGCUUUGCUGGGGUUAAAGUUAAACUGUGAGAGAUGAGGUUUGCGGUGGGAUUCCCCUAAGAAUGAAGAUGAACUAGUUUGUUUGGUUUCAAAAAACAAGGAUCUAGAGCUGCCAUUUGUCUUUUUUUUUUUAUUUCUAAUUCGUUUUUUUCGAUUAAGGGAUUUCCAAUUCAUUAAAAUUUUGAAAAAGUAGUUUUUAUAUAUUAAACUUGAGCUUCAUGCUCGAUACAAUUUGUUGAGUAGCUGAGUAGCAGAAGUCUUCUCUUCGUAUGGUCAUAAUAAGACCAACUCAAUUCCUCUCGGAACUUCUAGAGCUAUCUACUCAUGGAAUUAUCCCUAAUAGCUAUCUUAUAGAAUACUAAUUGGCCGGUAGGCUUCUGUAGUUGAUGCUUACUUGUCUCCUUGUCAAAAUGACAAUUACAAAUUUAUAAUGUGCAACUUGAUGUGGUUCAUUUGUCCCACCAUAUCCUCAUAGCAACCCAUCCUUUUAAGACAUUCUCCAAUAAUGAUGAAGGUACUAAUCAGAGGUCCCAACUUAUUAUUAAUUCAGUGUGCCCAUCUCUUUUUCACUUCCCUUUCAGCAAGGGUAUAUGGUCUCAUGUGCUUUGCAAGCAUGGAGUUUUUGUUCCUGACCUCAUUUGGUCUCUCUGCUCAUAUCUUAGGCUUCCACAGUUCCACUACUACUUGGAAAGACAUGUCUCUUGCUGUUAUUGUCAAUGUAUGCUAUAUGGUGUGAACAGAACAAUCGAAAAUGUAAUAAUGAGCAUCUUCAAUUCAUUCCAGUUUAUUCUGUUCAGCUUGAUUGUCGAUUUCAUCCGAUUGUGCCUCUACAGUCUGCAAGCCCCUCAUUCACCCCCUAAUCUCGCCACUCUCGUCGAAUGGAGAAUUUCUAUGUGAUGAGUUGCUAGUUGCCUAGUUCUUUAAGAUCUCUACUCUCUAGUAUGUAAUAUUUGAGAGGUUAUGUGCUGAACUUCUUUUUGUUUCUCUAAGGAAAGAUUUUUUGCCUCUGAUUUUUUGAGCUUCAUUGCUAUGUAGCCAAGUUGCUUUCUAUAUAUUCAUUUAAUUAAAACAAAAAAACAAAGCAAAAAAGGUUGAUUAUUAGUUGACAUCCAUCAUCACAGAGAAAUUUUGAAAACUAACCAACUUUUGGUCAUUAAGAUGGUUUUUAACCUUCUUUUUUAUUUUAGUUGAAAACUAACCAUUUUACAAGAUAAAAUGACUAUUAUGUCAUCUUAUUUAGUUGCAAGGAAAAAUUUCAUAUUCCAUGAACAGAUUUAAUAUAUUCCAUCUGCAAGAGACUUUAGGUUUUUUUUCCAAUCCAUGGGCAUUAUUCGUUUAAUCCAUGUACAAAAGCUCUGGGUAUUUUUCUAUUUUUUUUGUUUCAUCGUCUAUCUCAUCCCAAGGAUUCACUGUUGGAAACUUAGAAUUGAGUUUUCUACAAGUCUGAACUUCUUUGUCUCCAAUUAAUUAUGGCAAUGAUCAUAAUCAAUGUAUAUAUACAAAGCAUCUUGGUCUCUUCUAUUCCUCUUUUCUGUAUUUUUCCGAAUUGGGUUGCUGGAGUUCUUGCACAUGUAAGUCCCCUGAAAACCCCAAACUUCAAAUCCCUAAAUCCACAAAACUUCUAUUGAAAUUGAAACAUUGUAAAUCUAUGUUAUUCACGAAAUCUGAACACUAUGAAUAUGAUACCUAGCUAGAUGCUCCUCAAUUGGAUGUAGAAAAAAUAAAUCCCAUAAAUUAAAUACUCAAGAAGUUCAGUUGUUGUAGUAGACGAACGAUUGAACAAGAAUUUCAUAUUUUCCUUUCCUUUUUUUUGAGAAAAAAUAUAAAAAGGUAUUUAAAAUGGUUAUUUGAUUUAAAAGGGUAUUAAAGACUUUUAAUACUAUCAUAUGGUUAUUUUUUAACUAAAUGAAAAAAGAAGGUUAAAAACCAUCUUGAUGACCAAAAUUUAGUUAGUUUUCAAAAUUUCUCAUCAUCACAUUGCCUCAUCUAGUCAGUGCUUCCUAUCUUCCUGCCUUUCUGCGUUACAGUUCUAAACUAAUGGGACAUAAGAAUCUUAAAAGAAUAUACAAAAAUUAUAAAAAAAUAAAUAAAUAAAUAAAGAGAAACUAAAGGGACAGUGCCUCUCGUGUUUUCUUCUCAGUGCCAUUAUUCAUUCUAAAAAGUACACUCUAAUGGCAUGGCAAAUUCUAUUCCAGGUUUUUUAUUUAGUCAUCAACCUCACACAAUUACAUCAAUUCAACAUGUAGGCUUUCAAUCAUUCUCAAAAAAAAAAAAAAAAACAUGUAGGCUUUCAAUGUAGCUAGCUAAUAGACUUUUGAAACAAUCAAAUCUAAGUGAUAAUGGAACACAAAUGUGGAAGAAACCAAAACGUACGAACCAUGUAACACAACCUUUGGAAGACAAGUGUAGCACCUGUAAUUCACCUACGAAAUGGAAUUCCUCCACCUCCUAGGAAUCUUUUUAGUCUGCUCUGCACCACCAUCUGUCGGAUGGUCUGGUCCAACGUUCUGAUUCUCUACCAUUGUAGUCUUAGUGAGUUUGCCGAGUUUCUUCCACCCGCUGCUCCAAGCUGAUGUAUGUUUCUGCUUUGAGGUCAUCUUAUCGAACUGUCUCUGCAAGUUUUCCAUGGAAUUUUGGAGAUCAAGGUACUUGGCUUUUACGCUCUCCAGUUCAAACUUUACAGUGUUGAUGUCCUUUUUUGCUGCUGCCCAUCCUUCUUGGAAGGAUUGCGGGGUCCCUUCAAGUAGUGUUUUCCGGUUUGGAACCAUUGGCUGAUAAUUAGAGUCUCGUCCAGCUUCAUUAAGGGCACUGUUAGCUAAUGCAUUGCUUAUUUUGACUUGCUCAGAGAAAAGAACUUGCACCACCACUCUUAAUGGGAGCCUUUCAUUUUGUGCAGCAUGCAUGCAAGCAUCAAUGGAUAGUUUUUGGCAAUCCAUCACCCGGCAUAGCCUCUUCCUUUCGUGCUCAGAGAGUGUCGGAUGGGCCUGUUAUGUUGACAAAAGAACACAUGAAUAUAUAAUCUGAACAGAUUAUACAUCAAACAAGUUACCAUUUUCAUUUAUAAUUAAGGUCAAGCUAAUCAUCAAAGAGCAGGCUCGCUAUGCUAAGUUGCUAACUGAAGCUUGCCUAGCAGCAAUGGUUCAUUAAGAAGAACAUAGCAAUAUAGCAUCACUAGCAAUCUAUAUAUGGUUCAUAUAAUAAAAUCAAUAUUAUUUAUCUAUGAUAAAAGCAUGUGUUACAAACAAACAUUCAUCACAUACUUGUUUUUUCUCUGGUAUCUGCAUUUUCCACGAGAACGAUACACUUCUAUAGCUAUUAUGAACAUUUUGUAUCUAGCUAGCUUUGUAUUUUCUUAAAAGAUAUUCCCAGUGUGCAUGCAUACAUGCUAAAACAGAAAUUAACAAUCGAGUAUUUUUGGGAAAUAAGAAGGGAUUAUAAGUACCUUGAGAUAGGAAUCGAUUGCUCUAUAAAGUCCAUCAUCACAGGUCCUUGCAGAUUCAGGCAAAGCUUCUGCGAGUACCUGGAACUUUGUUAGGGAAAGGCUUCUAUCUCUUGACACUUCUGUAAGAUAACUAUCAACAAGCUUAGCUACCCUCAUCUUAGCAUUUGGCCCUGUACCCCUUUCAUAGUGCUUUUCAAUGAAAGAUUGGUGGCUUGGACUUGACAUUUCAGUCUGUUCUUGAACAAGAAAGUGCUCCAGAAGCCUCUGGACAAGAUCCACAUCAUACAUAGUUUCACUUUUGUUGUAAGAUGGAAUGAGAAGAUCUGCCAAUGUAGCCUGUUCAAAUUGCAUUCCCACCCGUUUCUCCAACUCAGUCACCAAUGCAGGUGCUACUUUCAACAUGUUUGCCAUUCUCAGAAGCCGAAGAAGGAAGCUGCAUGAGACACUGUCCCUUUGUGGUGGAAUAAUGCUGAUUAGGCUCUCGAUGAUCAUCCGUUGAUCUUUGGCCUGAACAGUUGAAGACUCAUUAUCUUUUGUUCCCGCCACGAUCAGGUGAAGUCCACCCUUCCAACUGCUUCCACUACUAUUGCUGCUGUUGCUUCCUUCAUCAGGUGUUAACCCGGAGCCAUGAUCACUUAUUAUAUUAGGGAGCCAUUUAGAUGCAUAGUGCAUUAUUGCAGCUCCGAUAAGUUCAAAUCUCAUCCCCUUCACUUUGAUUGCAGUAAUAACCCUGACAUAAUGAUCAAUCCGAAGAAUUGAAGCGUCUUCAAACCACCAAUCAGGAGGAACUUGCAGCUGGUUUCUACUUGGACUUGAGUCCUUCAUGUCACUCCAAUUUGGGCUUGAAACUUUUGUAGCUACCUUACUACCAGUGUAUGGCCAUCGUAUGCCUUUUGGAUUAGCACAAGCUUUCCAAGCAAUGGACUCACUGCAUCUCCGAACAAUUUGAAGGUUUUCAGCCCAUGGAGAGAGCUUCUCACAACUUUUCAACACCACUAUGGAGUCUCUCCACGAGGAUAAAACCACAUAGCUGAGAAAAGCUUCAGUUUUGAAAAUAAGGUUGCCUUCUUCCAAGUCCUCUGUCAUUUCAAGGAACUCUGCAGCACAUCUAAGGCCUGAAAUGUUGGCUGCUGUCAGAUCGACAGAAAUGCCAUAGCAGAAUUUUGCAGCUAGCUCAAAGGCCUCAGGUCCCCCAGGAAGGUCAUCCAAAACCAUCUUACUUAAGUCCGGGUCUCGUAAUUCAUACAGUAUUCUGUUCAUCUUUCCACUUCUUGACAGCAAGGGAUACUACUUGAAAUAAGGCAACAGAAUGAAUGAAUGGAAUCAAAGACAUUCUAAUCUAAUCUUAUUAGUAACGCAAUAAAAUAUAUAACUAUUACACUAAGCUCAGUGUUCAAACAUUUUUCCAGAGAAUUAGUUACCUUAUGCAAGUGAAAAUUGACUUCUCCAACUUUAACCAACAGGUCACUUGGGAUAUCAGUUGCAACAUACCUAUUACAUUCAAAACAAACAAAGCCAACAAUUCCAUUAUUAUGUUGCAUGCACAAAGAUUAGCUAAAGCCUUAAGAAAUUGAAAUCCCACUUUCUUAGCUGUCCCAACAACAAUAAAUAGGAAACCUAGCCUUCUAGUCUAACACCAAAACUAUGGGGUCUAGAAAUCAAGGUAGACAGACAUGUAAGGGAGUUUGAUCAUCGAUACAGUUUCUUUCUCAAAAUUCUAUCUAGUUUUGGCAAACUCAAUAAGAUAGUGUCUGUAAUCCCACUUUAGUCACUUAGCUACUACAUCAAUAUACAAUUAGUUCUAAUAAAAACAAUUUAAAAAUAUAUGCAAAUAGACAACUGUAUCUACUUUGUUCAUAUAUACAUACCAUGAAUUCCCUUUUAGCUCAAACCCAUCAUUCUUGACACUCUGCUUGCUUAAACUAAAAUCUCCAUUGCCAUAGUCUCUGCCUCCUCCAACUGACUCACUCUCUGAUUCCCACAUGAUUCUGAAGAAAUUCCCAGGGGAAAUUUGAGCUGAAAUUUCUGAGGCAAGUGGCUACAAAUAAGAGCAGGCAGAGAAAUAAAUGAGCAGAGAAGGUUUGGCAGUGAAUACUAACUGAGAUAACAUAUAUGGGGAAUGAAAAGGAAGUCUCACUCACAUGGGUUGCUUGGAAAUGUCGGCUUGGUUUGGACGAGUGUGCUUACAGUUACAGCUGUGUAGUAAUGGGCACUGUAGUUGGUACACUGUUUGUUUUCGGAUCACUGUUUGAAGGAAUGAUCUAUAUAUGGUGCUCCCUUCCAGCACUAAUACUCAUUUGCCUUCCACGUGAGUCUUGCAAAGGGGCAGAAAUGAUUGGAUGCAAGCGGCAAAAAUGAUCGGAUGCAGGUAGAUAAAUGGGAAAACAAGCAAAUUUAUCUUAAAUUUUUCACUUUUUUGGAUUUUGAAAAAAAAAUUAAAAAAAUUGUUGAAGAAAAAACACAUUUAUGUGUGUCUUUGUUAAAAUUGUAACCGACGAGAGUAAAUUAUGUAAUUAGUAAUCAAUUAGUGUAAUUGCUCAAUCAGUUAUCAAUCAAAUUUUAUUGUUAUUAUGUACAUUAUAUUUACCUUUGUACGUUUUAUUUUUACAAAAAUAACAUAUUUAACGAUAUUUAACAGCUACGAUUAUUUAUAAAAGCAUCUUUAUUAUCAAAAAAAGUAAAUAUAAACAUAGAUAAAUUUACCAACAAUUUUCUUAGAGGUUGUUUCCACUUCAUGGAAAUAGAAAAACCAUGCUUCUACAAAUUGAUGCAAAGUAUGAAGAACUUGCAUCAUCCAUCGGUUGUAGCUAACCACUAGGUUUGUGCGAUAUAACUUGUACCAAGGUGUAAGGUUAAGCACGACCCAAGACCGACCCCAAUUUCAUUAAGACUGGGAUCAGACGGCUGUAUAAAACCGGGCUGGGCCUACUGCUGCUAAACACGGGCACCAGAAAGAGCUUGGACUAGCUUUAACCGCAUUGGGCCUUCGGUCGUAUUUUUCACAUGCUUUUCGACAUGUUUUUACUUUCCAACCUAUUCCGUAUUAUCUUAUAUCAAAGCAAGCCUGUAAUUUUGAUCAAACAAAUGCAAAGCAACUAAAGGCUGCAACCUUACUAUAUACAAAUUCUCACAUUAUGUAGUAACUUUCGAGUAAUAAAAUUGGGAAAAUUUUGACAACAGUACAUGAACUAUUGCCCACUAAGAAUUAAUGUUAUUUAACUUUCAAAACUAUCAUAUAAGUACAUGAAGUAGUGAACUUGACCCACUUUUGGUACACGUCGUCAACAACUCUGUUAGUCCAAACGCUCUUUGUCCUUUUCAUAAGAGUAAAACCGUCUUUUCACGAAUGAUAAAAAAAUGUUAAAUUCUCUCAUUAGCUUCCAGCCUUCCAUCCACCACCAAUCAUCCAAGAAGAAGAAUACCACUUUUCGUUUCAGAAAUAUGCCGACAAAGUUUUCUUCAACAACAUCAGCUGGAUAGUUCUGUUUUUCCUGUCUUCAACCACUACCUUAAAAGUCAACGGGAUAUUACUGAUGCCGACGAGGUUGCAUCGUCGAUGUUGUCCGCGUCAUUUGACGAAACGAGCUAGAGGUGGAGGAGCGACCUCUUUCAUCUCCUCUCUCUUUGUCGGCAACCACUUUAUUCAAAGUUAGAAUAACAAAUUUAGACUUUCAAAAAAAAAAAAAAAUUCAGUUGCUUCACCAUAAAAAUGUACGAACUUUGUAGCUGAGUUUGGUUCUGGGUUUAGUAAUUGUGCUCUGGGUCUUGGAAUUGAAGUCUUCAUCUGUCAUCGUAGCAAACUUCUAAGUUUUGCUCGUCCGGUGGAAGUCGAUACCCACUACUGCAGCCGGACAAAUUGUGAGCAGUCAUGGCUUGUCUCUAAUGGGCUUUUCUAAGGCUGAAUGGGAGUGCCCGUCAUUAGGUGUUGUACAAUGUGCCUUCAUGGGGUGAGAAGAUGGAUGUGUACAAGAGCAUGUCAUGGCUUGGUGGCAGUGGUGUUAAGGCUCGGCAAAAAGCGUACAUCUUAUCAAAUACGUACAUUCUACCUUUUUUUUGGGUAAGUGGGAUAAUGACUAGCUCAUCGUCCUUACACAAAAAUUUAUUGAUAACAAAAAAAAGUUACAAAACAAGGGGGAUUAAACCAAUUAUUUGAUAAUGGCAUGGGUCGUAACGGAAGAGAUGACAAAAUGUAUGAAAACCGAGUCAGGUUAAAUCGUUCAUGUACUUUUUGUAGUUACAAAAAUACAAUGACCUUAAUUCUCAGUAGAGAAAAAUUUAUGUAUUGUUUUAAAAAAUUUCCCAAAUAAACUAAAACUGAAUUAUUGAUUCCAACUUCCAAGUCACAUAAAAUCAAGACAACAACUCAGCAACUUCAAAUGCUUAGAAACCAAUUUCUGGUUGCUACAAUAAAAGAUCUCAAGUUAUUCAACAUCAAUACAUCAUUAUAUUAAGACUUCGACGAAAAUCAACAAUUGAACACUUGGACUUUAAUACAAGCAACAAUCCAACACAUCUACACUAACAAAGUAAUAUGUAAGACUAAAACUCCAAAGUCUGAAAUGAAAUGUGUGAAAUCAACUUAAUCAAGGCAUCAAGCUGCCAUGGAUUAGCUCAUUUGUCAUUCAUCAAGUUCUCCCUACAAAAAGAAAAUAUGAAUCUUAGUUUAUUAGGAAGAUUAAUUUGAUCAACAAGACAAAGAAACAAGGAUAAGAUGAAGAAAUAAAUUCUUUUAAUACGCCAUGAUAAUUAUGCCUACAUUCUGGGAGUUCUUCCUUAUUUGUAGGCCCCGUUUGGUAUAGCUUCGCUUUUAAAAAAAUUUGCUUAUAUCCGAACUUUUAGAUUUUAUAGUGUUUGAUAAAUCAAAGUAAAAACAAUUUUUUUUUUUUUGAAAAUUACAGGUCACUAGCAGCAGAUUUUAGAAGCAACCUAGAAAGCAACUGUCAUAAAAACACUACAGAUUUAUGUAAUUUGACUUUGCAGCAGUUUUAGAACUAAUAUUUACCAAACAGAAAACCAUUUUAAUUCACAGCUGAUUAUUUUCACAGUAUAACAUAAUCAAAUUUUUUUAAAGUCAUAGCAAUACCAAACUAGCCCUUAGUAAUUUGCCUUUUUCAUUUUCCUUAUAAUUCUAUUUAACUUUUAUUUUUUCUGUUUAAUAAGGAAUGUAGAAGACAUAAUUAUCUCAUCAUAUGAUGUCGGCGUGAGAACCUUACUAACGGUGUUAGACAAAAUGUUAUCAUUGGACUAUGAUUAGUCGAUAGAUAAAACACGAGGACAAAAAAUAAUCAUUUUUAAACCACGAUGGCAAACAUAACCAUAAGUCCAAACCACAAGGAUCAUUUAUAACUUUUACCCAUAGAACUUAAAUAGCAAACAAAUUGAUACUAACCCUCAGCAUAUAAUUUAGAAGUUGAUACUAACCCUCAGUUGAUACUAACCCACAACAUAUAAUUUACACCCCACUACCACCCAGCCCCUGUCCCAAUUAUUUCCCAAUCUAAAACCCUAGCUUCGCCCCCAACCGCUUCUCCAUCUUAGAAUAUCAACCUCCGCCUCUGUUGUUUAUUUUCUUUUUUGCAAUUUUUUAUAGGGUCCGGAUCAAGGGACGUAAUAUUUGACACUAUUUUUUACACUAAUUUUUAUCCCUUAGAUUUAAGUUGAUCGAAUGGUUGUUAUUAAUUGAGAGUAUGAUUUGACAAGUGACAUGGAAUUACUAUUAAUUGCCAAUUACAAAGAUAAUAUAUAUAUAUAUAUAUGUAAAUUAAAUUCUUUUCUAUAAAAAAAAAUUAAAAACGGGUGCGUCUAUUGCCACCCCACAAACCACUUUGUUCAUAUAUUUUUUUCAAUUUCAUAUUUGCUCUUUCACCCAACAUUCAAUCUCUUCUCACCCCGCCUAUAUAUUUUUUAAUUUUAAAUUUACUUUAUUAACCGAUUUGCAAUACACACAAUAUCAGCCUAUUCCAAUAGCCAUUGAAUACCAAAAAUAAAAUGAAAUUGAAGAAAAUCAUAAGAUUAAUAUCAUUUGGGUAAGUCGAAUCAUAAACUUAAUAAUAAAAAUCACAUUAAAGUAUAAAUCUCAAUUAAAGAACAAGAAAAAACUCUCAAACUUAACAACUCAUUGGUAUCUGUCGAUAUCAAGAUGCACAAUGUCUAUAAACUUUACUUUGAAAAAGCUCUGACGCCGAUGAAAAAAAAUUCGAAUAUAUAUAAGUGAUCGACUAAACAUGAAAAUUUACAUACAAAAUCAAUAUGAGAAAUAAUAAGUAAAGGGAUAGACGAAGCAUCAACAAAGAAAAAAAAUUCUGGGUAAUUAAGGUUUCCGAAGUAAGUGUUUAUCUAAAAAAAAAAGAAUUUGUAAUUUGUAACAACUUAUUGUCCCUUGCUGUAAUUUUACAUUAGGGUAUAUUAAUCAUUCAAUAAAUCAACAACGUGUGGGGUGAGUAAAUUGGUUUGGGGGGUGGCAAUAGACGCGCCCUUAAAAAAUUACGUGAAGAAGUUAUGAACACGGGUACCCAUCUUCUUCGUUGAAGAUAGAAAAUUCCAAGUUUAUGCAAGCAAACAUAUCAAAUUGAGAGCCCGCAUUUAAUCUUUAACUGCAUCAAUUUUCCUAAUUGAUCAAACUCCUUUAACUUAUGGGCAACCCAAUCGAUCUAAUGUCUCCGCAAAGAGAUUAGGGACUUGAGCAAACCCUAAUUCUCUACUUUUAGAAUAUGAAGAAAUUAAGAAUCAAAUACUAUGAUUUAUAAUGAAGUAGUUUAAUAUGACCUCAGAUUUGAUGUUUUUAUUUAAAGAAGUGGUGUUUUUGUUUGAAGAAGUGGUAUUUCUAUUUGAUGGGGGAGGUAAUACAUGUUUGCUAUUUGCAUACAUAAACCUGGAAAUUUCUAUCUUGUUGAAGAACAUGGGUGUUCUUCUCGAUUUAUUUCAUGUGAACUUUUGUUUUUUGUUUGUUUGUUUUUUAUUAUUUUUUUAUAAAAUUCAUUUACAUAUGUAUAUAUAUAUAUAUUAUCUUUGUAAUUAACAAUUAAUAGUAAUUCCAUGUCACUUGCCAAAUCAUACUCUUAAUUAAUAACAACCAUUCGAUCAACUUAAAUCUAAGAGAUAAAAAUUAGUGUAAAAAUGUAAUACCCCGGAAAUUUAAUAUUAGUUUCUAAUAUUAUUUGAGAAUUUUUGAGUUAGAAUUUAGUGUGUUUUGAGGUUCGAAGGAAGAGCGGAAAUGUUCGGAUGCUUAUUUUUACCCGAAACGGUUUUAUGGUUUUGAAGGGUUAAGAGUUGACUUUUUAAUCUGUUGGGUUUCUCGAGAAACUUCCUUCACAGAAGUUGUAGAGCACGAUGAUACGAGUUCGUAAACAUAUGGCACGCGUAAAACGGACUUCGUAUGAGAAAGUUUUGGUCAGCAGAAGUUCGUGGCUUUACGAAAUUUUUGGGUUAAAUAUCAAAAGUUUAGGGUUUCCUUUCAUUUCCGGAAACCAUCCCUCCUCCCUUUUUUCUCUCUCUAUCGCGACACCUUCAUUGUCCGAGUUUUCCAGCCGACCCGACCCGGACCCGGUUGACCCGACCCGGCUUUUCCGGCCACCUCCGACCGACCUAGACGCCCGCACCGGUCGGGUUCUCUUCCUCUCCUCCGUCCAAGCUGCCCUGUGGUGGUGACUUGCGCCGUUUCAACCCCGAAGUGGUGACCCGAAGCUUGGAAGUUCGGCUUGGAGACCGGCCCGGAUUCCCACCUCCGGCAACGGCGACAAGGCGGGAGACCGGUCGGGAUAGAAGCCCCUUGGCGUCCUGGUCCGACUUCUGGUGGCCUUAGAGCGUGACUCACGGCAAAGAGUGCGGUGGUGGAUUCUAAACUUUUCCGGCGAGUUUUCGGUGAUUUCCGGCUAUUUCGGCUGAACUGGUUGGACCUUCAGGUAUGAAAAGUGUUCCCCUUGUUGUAAUCUUUAAGUUUGAUGUUGGAAGUUUGUUGAGAUUAUGAAGUUGUAGGGUGGCGCGUGGGGCCCACUCGCCGCCGCCAAUGGUGGCGCGUGGCGGCGCAUUGGGCAGGGUGUGUAGGUUUAAUUACUUUGGUUAACUAGUUUUUGUUGUUAUGAGCAUGUUGGUAUAUUAUGAGAUUAGGUCAAGUUUGAAUAAGUUUUGCUUGUUAAAUUCUUUGUUAUUGUAGACUUGUACGAAGUGUUGAGCUAGGAGAAUCCAAAGUUAGGCAGUAAGGGAAGGUAGUUAAGUAUUCGAUGACCUUGGGAGGUCUCAGAAGAGGGUUGUCCCUUUUUGGGCAAAGCUUGGGUUAAGGCUUGUUAAAGGUGCAAUGUUCUUUGGUUAAGUGGUUAUUAAAGUUAUUAAUUUUGUUAAUAGGUGACUUGUGGAGUGUGGUUUGGUGUUAUAUUCUUGUGUUGUGCGUGCAAAGACGCAGCUGGAUUUGAGGUGAGUAACAUCUCACCAAGGUCCACUUUCGGACCAAUCAUUUAUAAUUAUUAUGAUGAUGAUUGUGAUGUUGAUUUUGAAGAUGAUUAUGAUGAUGAUUGUGAUGUUGAUUUUGAUAUGAUGAUGAUGAUGAUAAUUGUACGAUGAUGAUGAGAUUAAUGAUGAUGAUGAAAAUGUUGAUGGAAAUGUUGAUGAUAUGAUGAUUAUGAUGAUAAUUAUUAUGAUGACGAUGGUAAUAGUUUUGAUUGAUGAUUAUGAUGCUAUUUUUAAUAUUGUGAGUAAAUCUCACAUGGGUUCUUAAAGAACCAAAUUUAUUUUAUAAUUUUGUUAUUGUUAGUUGUGAAGUUGUCCUUAAAAGGAGAAUGAUUCUUUGUUUUUAAAUAUAAAUGAGAUUGAUCGUCAACAGCUCAUGGGUAAGUGAAAAUGUGUUUUCUGAUAAAAAUAAAUCUUUCAAAAGGACUUCCGAUCAUGUGAUAUUGUUGUUGAUAGAUUAUUCUAGUGGGAAUAUCUAUGUCUCUGUUUAUAUAAAUAUAUCUAGGUGGAAAGAUAUAAUUUAUGAAGUACUCUUGUGUUGUUGUUGAGGAUAUUUUUAUAUUGUGAUUUGAUAAGUGUUAUGAUGGGAGAGUAUUUGAAGGUGUGCCUUAGUGGCGAUUGUGUGCAUUAGUUGUGUAUGUGUGAGCCUUAGUGGUGAUUCUUAGAUUAGGAGCCUUCGUGGUGGACCAGGAACCAAGCCUUGGCCGGGUGAUUGGUUACGGUCAGUAUAGAGCUCUAGUAUGUCAGUCGGUACUUCAUGAGGGAUGACUAAGUGUUGACGAACCCAUGAGUACGCAUCGUUGGUUACUUAUGGGGGAUGAUUAAGUGUUGGCGAACUCAUAAGUAAGAGUAGAGAAAUGAUUGUAUGAUGUUCUUAUAUGUUGUCUUUUAAAAUUCCUUGUUUUAAGUAUUUCCUGAACUAUGCAUUUUUGCAGGAUUUCAUUUUGAUUUGUUUGAUUGUGAAUUGUUGCGUUUCCUUUUAAUUAUUUGUUUCAUUUAUGAUUUUGAAUUAUUGUGUUUUUCUUAAUUGCUUCUUUUGAAUUCUCUUGCUUUUAGGUGAUUCCUGAACUCAGUUAUUAAGGCAGGAAUUACCAAUUUUAAUUAUAUGUGAUGUUGGAAUUGUUGAGUUAAUAUUUUGAGAGUUACUCAUAUGAGCUUUUUAGCUUACCGGGUUUGUUGUUUACAACCCGGUACACCAAUUCAUGGUGUAGGGGUUAGACCUGCAGGUGAUGAUCAGAAGGUUUGAGGCAGUGGCCUAGGAGCUGGGUUUUUGAUGAUAUACAUUUAUUUGUAUUUUUUGGUAGUUGUUUUUAAGCUCAUGUAAGCGAAAUAGUUUAUUACUAGACUUUUGGAAGUUGAUGUAAUUAAGGAGAUUAAAUGUUUAACUCGGUUGAUGAGUUUAUCGACAUUUACAUUUUCAGUAUUUUUUUUGGUUUGGAAAUUGUCGAGCAGGUUGUGAGAUUUUAAGAUUUUGAGUUUUAUCAUGCCCAAAUUUUUGAAAUUUUAUCCUUCGAAAAUUGGGGUGUGACAAAAAAAUAGUGUUAAAUAUUGCGUCCCUUGAUCCGGACCUUUUUUAUAUUAACCUUUUAGUUCAGUUGUUUCAAUUAAUUCAUUAAGGGUACUUUAAACAAAACAUAAUUUGGUAAUUUUCUGAAAUCAUUGCUCUAUAGUAGUAGAGAUAGGGUUUUGGUAAAUAUAAUGUUGUUCUAUUUUUUAUAUUUAUUUUUUGGAAAUAAGGCCGUUUUCCAGUUGUUGUGCGUAGAAUUUAGAAUUAAGAUGGUAAAAUAUCUGAGACCGACAGUUACAGUAAAUAUCAAAUUGACCCCGAUUAAUCGUCUCCCCGAUUUAAAAAGCCUAAUCAGCUACAGACCGCAUCAUCGUUCUGUUUGUCUCUCAAAUAUUGGAAACCCUAAACACCCCCCCCCCCCCUCCUCUCGCUCUCGGUUCUUGAGCCGAAUAAAGUUUUGCUUGAACAUUCCAUACGAUACAACCAAGAGCAUCUUUUCCAUAUGUAUUUGAAUGACGUUAUAAUUCCUAGACAUUGUAUGGAGCAUAUGAUCCUUUCUUAGGCAAUUGCGCAAUCAUCUCCUCUUAUUUCUUCAUCUUUUUCUUACUUCUCCACACAGCCCGCAUACAAACAUACGCUCCAGAAGCAAAGUCAUGAAGAGCAACAACAAUCAUAGCAGUUAAAAGUCAUCAACAAACAUAACAGCUGUUAUUGAUCUAUUAUAGUUUGCUAUCAGCUCCACCAUAUAUGGUUUUGAAAACUUGGAUAUGAACCACUUUCGUAUACUCCAUUAUCACUUUACAGAUACUCAGCCAUGACAACAUCAUAAACAAGACCAGUAUCUCUAUAAUAUCCAUAAACUAAUAUAGUCAUUCGAAAAAGAUUUUCAUGACCUUGUUCCCGCUCCCACUUUUUCAUCUUCUUCUGAAAUUUCUUCUUUACCACUGGCAUACCCACCUUAGAAGAGAGGUUCAUAACCGUAUCCCUAACAAUACUUAUCAUGUUACGACUUUCUUUCACGCUAGCUACCAGAAUAACCAAUAUAUAAUCUUUGAGUUUGAUUAUCUUUGGAAAACUUUCUAAAAUUAUUUCACCACUGUUGUCUUUUCCAUCAGACAUUAUUUUUCCAUCUACUACGAUAAAAAUGGCUUCCUCACCAACCAUUUGUGUAAUGGUUGAACUUGUCACAACUGUAAAUCCUACAUAUAUCAAAGAUGAAAUCCAAAGGUAUAAAAAAUUAAUUAGAUGGGAUCAUAACUUAUACAACAUUAAAGCAUCUAAUGAUUAACACAAGUCAAACUUACUAGGAGGCAGGGCCGGCCCUGUGUGUAUAGAGACUCAAGGCGAAGAAAAUCUCGAGGACCCCAAAAAAAAUAACCAAAAAAAAAAAUCACAACCAUGAUAUAUAACAACUUCAAAGCCGACGAAUAUAUAUUAGUUUAUGUCAUUGUUAUCAAUCAGUUUAUGUGUCAUUAACUGUUAUCUUAAUGUCAUUAUUAUCAAUCAGUUUAUGUCUCUUAACUGAUAAAAUAGUUGGUCUCUUAACUUGGUAGAUAUAUUGGUGAGGAGAGGCAUUGAUCGAACAAGGCUGCAAAUGGUGAUUUGAAGUUGCGUAGCUACGCAUUUUGGCUUAAUCGAUAAGUUUGAAUGAUCAUAUUGAGUUUGGUAGAGAAAUGCAUUUGUGGAUUUCUUAAUUCUUGUUGUCUGUGUAUCUAUAUCUAUGAAUUUAUGUGGUAAUGUGUUGUGCAAAUGAGCUAUAUAUAGAUGUAAACUGGUUUGAAUUUUUUUUUUUCUAAAUGCAAGUGAGCCAUGCAUAUGUGGAUUCAUGAACUGACAAUUGUUCUUGGGAAAUGCAUAUAUAUAUCGUAAUGUGUUUGAGAAAUUGUUUUAGUAUGAAGCUGUUUAUGUAUGUACCUACAAAUAAUUUCAAUAUAUAUAUAGCUAAUAAUUUAUUUAGAUAUUGAUAUAGUCUUUAGGAUAUAUAACUGGAAUGAAUUAAUUUGUUAAUGAUAUAGGUUCAAAAAGGUCAGCUUGAUUGCAAAUUGGCCGUUGACAUGGUGGAAAACAUUGUAGGUUCUGGACGUAUAGUUGAUGGAGACCUUGAUCCCAACAAGCAAACAAUCCAUGGCGUUUCUUUGGGAGCUGAAAAUGUUUGAGUCUCUAUUGUUGUUCCAAUCAUUGGUCAUCAUUUGCUGCUGUAUUCCAUAAAAUAUGAGAUAAUGACUGUGAAGGAUGCCCUUGGGUAUAUUGUUGCUUGGCUGAGGAAUCUCAUUAUUGAGGUUGCAAUUGAUGUACAAGUAGUCCUUAACUGCUUCUAGUUUUUUAUGUUAAUGUUAGAAAUAUGGUUUAAAAAUAAUAAUAUCAUACUUCUUGCUUAAUAAAAUACAAUAACAAAUAUGCAGGACAACCCAAAACCAAAGACUAUAGUUACUACAAGGAGGCGGAGUAGACAGCAAGCAUCGCCAAAGGAUCUUGAUGAUGAAGAUUUGGAACACCUGUCACCGAAUCUCUCGCGACAAUUACUGACCUUGUGCGCUUGGGCAAAUCAAGGAUUACGUAAUAGAGCUACCAUCCUCACAACUUUUCCUGCGAAAAUAUUUGGUCAUCCAACGAAGGCAAUUAUAUUCAGAAAGGAUGUUCACGCCAUGACACACAUGACAGAACUAAUAUUUUACAUUAGGUAAUUAAUGUAACACAUUAUGACAUAGCUGCUAAAAUUUUAACAAGUUUCUUAUUUGCUAUUUCUAAGUCUGCUUUCAUAUUGUGAAUAUAUGUCUAUGUACCUACCUCAAUGAGGUUUUGAAGAAGUCCCAAAUGACUGACAUGGUUGGCUUCAUCGACCCCAAUCACACAGGUGCACUUGGAUGUAGAACUCCAACUGAACGCUCUAAGAAUUUAAUGAAUCGUUUCAAAUUGGGGACCAGCGAGCAGAUUUAUUUGGUGCCUCAUAACUCAGGGUAUAUAUUAGAUGUUUAAUGGAAAAAUAUAUACAUGUAUAAACUGCUUUAUGAGACUGAUACCUUCUGUUUUGUUUAUGGCAUAUAUACAGUACUCAUUGGACCUUAUCAGUUGUGGGUCCGCACCUAAAAAAGGUUUACUGGUUGGAUCCGUUAAAGAGGCGACUAUUAGCUAUUAGUGAAUGACAUGAUGUUGUAGUAAGUUUCACCCUAUAAAAAUCUCUUUUGAUUUUUGGUGAAUUGAUGUUGUGGACAAUAUAUAGCCUAUAUAUAACUUAGUAACUAGUGAGAGACAUAGUAUAGAAAUACCAGAAAGGAGAAUCAAGUUUUCAUUGUUUGUGGUAUGAUGUUUCGUGUAAUUGCUAAAGUGGAUUGUAUAUUGUGACUAAUGAAAGCCUUUAGGCUCUCAUAUUUUCUCUAUCUUAUAAAUUAUGAAAUUAAGUUUCCUUGGUCCAUGCAAAAAUAUGUGUCUGGUUUUUCUUGUCUUAUAUAUCCAAGGCAAAAUUGGCUUAUCAGUUUACAUAUGUUUUUAUCAUCUGUUGUUGAUUUUGAAGCGGCAUCAAGUUGUACUAUGCACAGAAGACAAAGAAACCUUCAAGAGUAUCAGUUGAAUGGAUCCCCCUUCUUGUAAGUGUUAUACCAUGAUCCAUAUGAUUCUCAAUCAAACUUUGCACACUAACUGAUUCUAAUUUGUGAUUAUUAUGUUUUGCAGGGCAAUACAGAGCAAAAAGAUGAUAAGACUUGUGCAUAUUUGGGCAUGCGUUAUAUGAAGGAUAUUAUUACGGACAAGGAAUUGGAGUUUGCUACUGCUGUAUGUGUUUUUGAUGCUAAAGUAUAUAUAUUAGACUUCAUUUACAUGUUUGACAUGAAGUUUUUCGUACCAUAAGCUUAGUGGUUACUUUUUAUUUGCAGUGGAAAACUAAGCAGGGUCUGUGUUACACACCAGAGCAAAUUGAUGAAGUUCGAGCUGAUUGAGCGAGACAAAUUCUGAUGUUUAAGGUUUAGGGUAUGUAGAACACUGCUAGGAGCGCGCGAGUUGAUUUUGUGCAAAUUGAACUCCUUAUAUAUAGGGGUGGGCAUAAAACCCGAAGAAAGAAAAAAACCCGAGCCGGAUUGGGCUUUUUACCGGUCCUAUGUCAGUUUUUUUCCAGUUCGGUCCGGGCCCAGUAACAGCCGGGCCGGGCCCGGUCCCUAAUUUUAUGAAAAAACGGUGGCCCGAAAGCCCGAAGGUAGUUGCUUACUAGUAUGUUACUAGUUUUGAGAUUAAUCAAGCCCACAUCUCCUCAUCUCAUAAAGCCCACAUCUCUUCAUCUCAUAUCCAUCACAAAAAAAGAUAAGGAUCAAGUCAGCCAUACAUCUCACCAACUCACCAUCUCCAUCACGUCACCAACUCACCAUCUCUCUCUUUUAUCAAAAAUAUAAAAAAAAACUCUCUCUGCUCUGGGUUUGGAAAGUUUCUGCAGGUUCUAUACUUCUAUAUACGGAUUUGGAUCAAAGAAAUUGAUCAAAGUAGUGAAUCUAAAUCUGAGAAGCUAGCUAGUUCGGUAGUUCCUUAGGUAUAUCUUAUAUAUGGUGAGCUCCAAAGACGGUACGACUGUCGAGUUAGUUUCUUCGAUUCAUCUCUGUGAUUUUGUCUUUUUUUCCUUUUCUUUUUUUUAAUUUUUUCUAUCUUUUUCACCUCUUCCUUCUUCACUUCUUCGAUCACUAUCUCCUUUUCUUUUGAGGAACUUGUUUCCUCUUCGACUUUGGCUGGUGUUGGUUCUGCUGGCGUUGGCUCCUCUACCUUCUCUUCUGUCACAAUGUACGAACUGCGCCUCUACCGUCGUCGACUCGUAGUCGCCAUCGUCCGCCUUGGUGUGACAACGCCUCCGACCACAAACCAAGACACCAAGUCACCUACUUCCUUUUGUAUGAAUUCUAAAUUUCUAAUCUCUCAUUCCUUCUUUGUUUCAGUUUUCUCCGAGAUUCUCAGCUUCUUUCUCCUUUGAUUUGAGUUUUUCUUUUUAUUCAAUUUGAGUUCUUCUUACUCUGUUUUAGUUUGUUUUCGAUUUCAUAUAUUGUGAUGUAUGUGAAAUCAGUGAAAUGAUUUAAAUGUAUUUGUUAUUUCUGUUGCUGGUUGUUGCUACAGAGAUGGAUGUCGACGUGCCUCUAUCUCUUGAGGCAGCCUGCGCCUGCGCCUGUGCCUAUGCCUCUCGAAGACGCCAGAUUUUGUGUUUUACUAAAUUUGGGCCCGAAAAACCUGAAGGCCCGGCCCGCUUGUUUCGAGCUUUUACCGGUCCUUUGUUUUGUAAGAGCGAAGCCCGGCCCGGGUACAAAACAACCGGUCCAGGCCCGGUCCCUGCAAAUACUAUGCCGGUCCGGGCCCGUGCCCAGCCCUACUUAUAUAUGUAUUGCAUAUAUAGGGCUGCUAGUUAAGUAAGCAGUUUUCAACUAAUAAUAUAUGAAUGGCUUUUGGUUUUAUUAAUCGAUCGUUUCAGUACUCUAGCUGGCUAACAUACAUUUUAGUUACUUUGUAGGUUUCUUAAGAUUGUUUUAGCUUGUUGUGAACAUAUAGAACUAGCUAGUGAUCAAUAAUGAUGAAUGUGGUUCUACUAACUAAUUUGAAAGAUGAUGUUGAAUUGGUUACCAGGAUGAUAUUAUAUAUAUGUGGCUUUUGUUGGUUUCCAGGUUUUCAUGUAUGAUUUUUUGUGCUCAUGAAUAUGUUUAUAUAAAUACAAUUUGAAAAAAAGGUCUAGUUGUGUAAUAAGCAUGACAGAUGACAGCUGAAACCAAAUCAAAUUUGUUGUCGUCUAACACAACAAGAGUCGACUAUAAUGUGUCAUUCUUGACAACAUCACACAGCAUAAUAUUGUCGUUCAUAACAAUUCAAACGACAGACAAAAAUAACUUAUUACACAAUUAAUCGACAUAUAAUUAUCUUCUGAUACUGAUACAGACGAUAUACUAGCUAGUAAACAUAUCUGUCGUAUUAACGUAUACAAAAAAGAGCUAUCUGUCAUCUGAACCGUAAAAUCACACAAACUAAAUAUUUAUACGACAGAAAUGUCAAAUGUGACUUCUGAACCUGAUCUCAAAAGAGAGACAUAUGCACAGUUUUGAGGUUUUAAACUAUUGCAACGACAGAAAAGCAUAGUAAUACUAGAAUACAGAUGACAGAUAAAUUAAGAGCUAGGAGGGUUAAAAAAAAACCAUUUAGACGUCAAACAAGUGACGUUAGAAUAAGUUUGAGACGAGACGGAUGAAAUCAUUUGCAGAUUCAUUCUUCUUUCAACGACAGUUAACGUUUUCUAACGACAGAUUCGUUUUUUGUGUUACGAACCUGGAUUCAUACAUAUGACAUAUUGUAUGUUGUAUAACUUUCCUCAGACGAUAGAUUAUAUAUGUAUGUCGACUGAAUGUUUAUCAGAUGACAGCUUGAUAGACGACACGCAAAAAAGUAAUCAGACGACGUAGUGAUUAUAACAAAUUCAACAAUUAAAUCCUAAACAUUAUCAUAUAUACAAAACAUCAAUCAUAAACAUAGCAUAGCAAAUUCAACAGGUGUAAAAUCAUUUAUAUUCGCCCAAAACAUAUUAGACUGAAAUCAUUCAUACGAGAAAGACAAUACUAGAACCAACACAUUAACCACAUUGCAAUUACAGUAGAAUUAGAAUCAGAUAUAUAUAUAUAUAUAUAUAUAUAUCAACAGAAGUAAAACAACAAAAAUAUGAAUGGUGUAAGAAAAGUACAGUAAAGUAUAUUGAACUUCUGCACAAGAAAUAAGACAUGUCUCAUAACAAUAAAAACCAUAAAAACCUCUCCCCAUAUAAUCUCUGAAAUAGUAAAGUUCUUGAAAUCUUGAAUGACAUACCCAGCGAAUUCUUGGAGAUCGACCGAAAAGUUUCUGAAAUUCUGACUUCUGAGCGACUAAUCUUAAGACUGGAAAGAGUGAGAGGGAGAGAGAGCCAGAAGGACUUAAAAACCUUUGAGCGAAUGUGGAGAGAUUGAGUCGUGAAAUAAAGAUUUUUGAGUUCCAAGACAUUGAUUGGCAUCGUCGAACGCUUCGAUUCUUGAGUCAGGACUGCUGGAAAUUUUCGAUAAUGGCUCAAUUGCAUGUGAAUCUCUCUCUACAUAUGUGUAUAUUAAAAAAUAAAAAUUAGGCCCCCUAAAUUUUGGUGCCUGAGGCACUUGCCUCUUGAGCUUCAUAUCAGAUCCGGGUCUGUAAAUAAUCAUAACCACUAAGACCUACUUACUAAACAAUCAUUAUCAAAGUUCUCGAGUUUAUCAUUGAUGCAAAGAAACGAAGCUGCAUCAUCUCUUAUGCACCAGAUGUAUCAAGGAUGACCACCACAAAUCUGACAAGUUGCUAAUAAAAACAAGUGCAGACACCUAGCAUAAUAACACAUAGCUAGGCUGGUGUUUGGUUCUCACCGAGAUAUGAAGAACAUAUAGACCAAAGAAUUCACAGCAUUGAAACAAACAAAGAAAAAACCAUGCAAAAAUAAAAUAAAAACAACGAUGGCCCAAGGAUAAAGUGCCUUAAAUCCGGAUUCAGUCAAUAGAAGUUAAGGCCCAAAAGGUGAGCCUCUACAACUAGCCCUCGACACACCCAAAUUUAAGCCUAAGAUGUUCCGUUCUCUUGCUACAAAACAAGGAAUUAGCCAUUUUUCCUCCCUCAGAUCUUUUGAUAUGGAGUAUGACUCAAUCCCCAUGAAUUUAGUUGAAGCUCAAUCCAAAUUCGAUCCCCGUUUCCGACAGUGUUGUCUCGUAAUUUAAAAAUUCUCUUACGACAAUUCAUAUGUGGAGGCUAUGACGUUAGUCCUUCGAGGAUGAGGUUGUAGGAAAGCCUACAACACAGAGGGUGUAACAUGACCCUAUGUGCAUGUUUGUUUCAUGGGACUCAAUGAGACGGUGUUAAAUAAGGAGUCCAGUUUAGUUAGUUCUGUGUUUGGUGUUACUAGGUACUAAAAUAAAUGAGCUUACGUAACACCUUGUUUUCAUUUUAGCCUCCUUAGAUGGUGUUAUUGUGGGUACUCAAAUAGGUCAUCCUUAGAUAACAUCAUCAUUCUAAACCACAAACCAAGCAAACUACACUCUAAUCCCAUGCAACAACAAACAUGUGUUAACUCAUAAGUACAUGACAAUCUUAAAAAAUAAAAUUUCCUUUUUGAUUAGAUAAACGUGCACUAUGUCUCUAAGUUUUCCUUUUUGAUCGAAUAAACAAUUCAGAUGCUACAAAUGGUCUACUGUGAGUCGAACUCAUAACCUUUCACUUUACCAAAAAAAAAACAAUAUCAAUUGACGAAAUGGUAGCACAAAAAAAUUGUGAUAAAUCUAUAAUCACCUACNGAAAAAAAAAAUUAAGAUUCAUAAGCUUUGAAGAAACUACCCCCCCCCCCCCCCCCAACCUCGCUGCACAAGCCUUUCUUGAUGAUUUAAGUUCUAUUGUUAGAGCUAAAAGAUCUACUUCAUGCUUUAAUAUUUAGUUGUUGGUUUUUUUGUUUUGAGCUCGUUUGAGUUCCGUUUGUAACCGAAAAAAAAAAUGAGAGUAAAAGUUCCUAAACGACGUCACUUUGCCCGCUUAGGAUAAAUAUAUAAGCGAGUCUUAAACACUAAGAAAAUUAGAAUUGGGCACAGAGAGCUCUAUAGAAACCCCCAUCAAAACGCAAAGGAAGAAACUCCAAGAUCUGAAGCAGAAUCCGGUGAGCUAUUGCCAUCUCUCUCUCUCUCUCUCUCUCUCUCUCUCUUGCUAUUUUAGUGAUUCGUUUACAUGUUCUAGGCAGAUCUUUCAUUCCGAUUUCUUUUCGUCUGUAAUGCGUUUGCUUAAUUUGAUUCAACACGGCCUUGAAAGCAAUUUUGUUAGUUCUAGUGUCUGAUCUGAGAGUAAUGCCGUUUGAUUUCGUCAGUAACAUCGUGUUCUAGUUCCGUGGUGGUUGAAUCUGUUGGAUCUGGUGUUGAAUUUCCGUUAGAGUUGUAGAGAUUUAGAUUUUCGGAAUGAGAUUAGGAUUUUCUAGAUUUAGAAAUCACUGAAUCGCGUGCAGCUUAAUUGGAUUUGAGCGUUUUGUGAUGCGAGUGUAGGACACAGUUUAGGUUCGUUUGAGAAAUUGUGUAAUCUUGGAUCGUUGUUCUUUUCAAAUGUUGAGGUGGUUCUUUUGAUUUUGAUUACUGUUGUUUGUGGAUUUUUUAUCUUGAUUUUUCAAUGUUGAUGAGAUUUUGUGUUUCUCAGGUGCUCUGUGCAAUACCAAUAAACUUUCGGUGAUUCAGGAUGGUAAAUUUCUGUUGUUUACAUUCUUGAUUUCCAUUUUAUGUUUAGGAACAAUUACAAUUGUUGAUCUGAGUGAUUUGUGUGUAUUUCUACAUUUUGAAAAAAAAGGGAAAGUAUUUGGGAUUCAAGUUCCGUUAAAAUACUUGAUUUGAUUUCUGCGCCUCAGUUUGAAUUGACUUUAGAACUGGUAAUUGAUGCAUUUAUUUGCAAUCAGAAAAGUUUUUUCCAUUCCUCUUCAGUGGUUAGAAUGCAUGAAUAUUUUAAAAAUUGAAAUGUAGUUCUUGGAAUAUGACUCCUUAUUGUAUCUUUUAUGUGUGAUGUAGGUUGUUCUUGCGGCUUCUGUUAUAAACAAGUCUGGAAAAGGUGAGUUCCGUGCCUCUUUUCUUUUGCUUCAGGGAUUAUCUGCCAGUUUGAAAGAAAACUUUCUUGCAUUUUUCAUUUUCUUUUUCCAAUGUUCCCUUUUGGGUAAUUUUGGAAUAGUCAGUUGAGGAAUAUGAAAUGAACAGACAUUGAAAUAGGAAAUUGAUGCAUCAAUUUGAAAAGUAAUUUGCUUAGUAACAACAAUGUGGUGGACAAUAUUGGUGUAAGAUUCAAUUUGAAAUAGGGAGAUGUGUUGAUGAGGACAUCACAGUCAAACCUUUUAAGGUUUAUGAGCUAAAGAAAUGGAAAGAGUGAGCAGCUAAUCAUUCCCUUUCCAUAUGGCUUGAUUAAUUUAUCUCAUUUAAUUUUCGCAGCUUGGAGGGAAAGCUGAUUCAGAUUCUAGAAGUAUCUAAGCUUCGUGUUCUUUCAAAUUUCUGCCUGUGUCUUUUCAUAUUUCAAUUCAGUUUAGAAGUUUUAAGAUUUUCUUUAUUAGGUCUUUUAUGCUUCAGUUGUGGAAAUCCAAGACCAAAGAGUAGUUGGCCUAGCGGUCAGACACUUGGUUUGCUCCCAAGUGAUCUGGGCUUCGACCUCUCCCAUGGUACCCCACCUAGCAGUUGCUAGAGUUUUCAGUUUCCCAAAUGUUGUGGGGUCAGGCUUGAAGCUUAGGGAUUAGUCGGGUCAAAGAUCCGGAUACCCUAGUUUCAGAAAAAAAAAAAGUUUCGGAAAAUGCCUAGAUGCAUUCAUAUGUUUUUCACCUGGUGUGUACAUGCAUUGAUGAACAUAAUUUACUGAGGAGUUCAAAUAAGUGGUACUCCAGGAUUAGAACACUCCCAAAAUAGGAUUCAAUUCCUACCAUGUUAUUUCUCUUGCUGUAUGACCUGGAAUUUAUGUCAUGUUUUAGUUAUAUUAUGCAUUAGGAGAUGAUAUACAUACAUAUUUAGAUAUUUGUUGCAUUCGCAAAAACAAAUUAUUGUUUUACUACUAGGCACUGUGAUUGUGGACUAAAAAUUCACACAUGAUUUGAGUUGACAUAUUUUCCUGAUUGAGAGUUUAGCAACAUUAAAUCAAUGAGACUCUCGGGUAAAUGCAUUACUCAAAAUAUUAGGCUAUAUACAAUUUAUUGUCUAAUAAUCUUAUUUUAGCUUAAAUUCACACAUGAUUUGACUCGACAAAUUUUCCUGAUUGAGAGUUGGACAACAUUAAAGGAAAUGAGACUCUUUUGUAAAUGCAUUACUCAAAAUGUUAGGCUAUUUACAAUUUAUUCUGUCUAAUAGUCUUGUUAUAGCUUAAAUUCACACAUGAUUUGACUUGAGGAAUUUUUCUGAUUGAGAGUUGGACAACAUUAAAGCAAAUGAGAAUCUUUCGUAAAUGCAUUACUAAAAAUAUUAGGCUAUAUACAAUUUAUUCUGUCUAAUAAUCUUAUUUUAGCUUAAAUACACCUUUCUCUGUUGUUCCUCUUAUUUGAACAAACUUCAUAGCCUCUUAUGCUUUCAACGUGGUCCAAAUUUAUAUCUCAUAAAAGUGGUUUGGGAAAUGUUUACGGGCAAAGCUUACCCUGUAGUGUCUUUAUCAUAUACUUUAUGCAUAUAUGACAACUGGUCCUGUCUUGGUAAAUUUGAAUCUUACACUUGAUGGUCAAAUGUUGAGAAAAUAAAAUUUUAACUAUCCUCAUUCCCAGCCUGGGUACCCCACAACAUACUAGUGUCUUAAGAUAUCUGCCUAUCCAACACAGACACUUAUUUGUUGUGGAGUGCUUCCAGUAGGUCUGAAACUCCUUCCCAACCUGGUUCACAAGGUUUGUAUCCAGAAAAUGGAUAUGGAAACGUAUACUUAACAUUAGAUGAGUGAAACUCUGGUAGUCAUGAGAUAUAUAAGGCAAAGCUUAUCAAUUAAUAGGAGAUUCAUCAAGCUUUUGUAGUCAGUAAAUCCUGCUUAGUGAAUAGAAGAUGUAUUCGCAUUUAUAUGGGCUCAUCUGUUACGAUCUAUUAUUGAUCCAUCACUUUUUGUUUCAUUUUUACAUGUCCUAAUUUUGAAGGCUGCAUAACUUCGUAGUUGCUUAGAUUGAUGUUAAUGUUUGUUUUCUGUUUUGCAGUGCUUGUUUCCAGGCAGUUUAUGGAUAUGUCCCGUAUAAGGAUCGAGGGUCUUCUUGCUGCUUUCCCUAAGUUGGUAGGCACUGGCAAACAACAUACAUAUGUUGAGACAGAAAAUGUGCGCUAUGUUUACCAGCCAAUAGAAGCUUUGUAUCUGCUUCUAGUUACAAACAAGCAGAGCAAUAUCUUGGAAGAUUUGGAGACUUUGAGGCUGCUCUCUAAGCUUGUAUCCUUUUCCUCUGUCCUUUGAUUACUUGCAUGGCUUUUUCGAUGACUCACUUCUUUGAUCCAUCAAUCCACCAAUUAUUGCAGUUUUGUAGAAUCAUCGCAAAUGUUGUUAGAAUUGUGAUGACUGGUUUGGUGGAUCUGGGUCCUUCUUUUCAGUUUCAUUUCGUUUUGUUCUCAUGUAUGGUACAUAUUAUAAUUUGUGGUAAUUGGCUAUCUUUCUCUAAAUGGGUAGUCCAAAAUCUACACUGAUAGAAGGGGAAUAGAUGGGAGAAAAUUGCGUAAAGAAACUUGAAAACAAGGUGUUUACAUGCUGGCGAGUAGGGGGGGGGGGGGGGUUGUUUUGUGAAUACUGUUGUUGAAUCAUUAUACCCUUUGGUUGUAUACAUUUGAGCAUGGAUGUACUUGUUUUUAAGAUUAGCAUGACAAUGUCAACUGCACUGCAAAAUAGUUUACUCCGAACUUAACAUUUAUUGGCAAUACGAGAUUUGUGGCGAACUGUGAACUACUUAUUCUCUGGCCCAUUAGUUGUCUAUUCUAGAUAUGUGUCAAGAUGUCAGACAAAACCAUUGUGUUGAUUCCUUAACUGUUCUUAGGUACCUGAAUAUGCAUUGUCCCUAGAUGAAGAUGGUAUAUGCAGGACAGCUUUUGAGUUGAUUUUUGCUUUUGAUGAAGUAAUCUCUCUUGGGCACAAGGAGAACGUGACUGUUGCACAGGUGAAGCAGUACUGUGAGAUGGAGAGUCAUGAAGAGAAGCUUCACAAGCUUGUAAUGCAGAGCAAGAUAAAUGAAACCAAGGAUGUUAUGAAGCGCAAGGCCAGUGAGAUUGACAAAAGCAAGGUACUUGCUUAGGCACUGUUAUGCCUCAUGUACUAAUAUGUGUCUUGCUAAAUUUCCUUGUGUUAUGGGUCUUCCUUUGUACAAUCAUGUGAUUUUUUCUUCUUCUGCAGAUUGAUAGGAGCAGAGGUGAAAAGGGAGGAUUUGGGCCUUUGCAGUCGAUCGGUUCUGGAAGAAUUGAGAGUGGCUUUAAUGAUAUAAGCAUAUCCAGUAGUGGAAGUGGUUAUGGAAGUGGUUCUGGUUUGGGACUGACCCCUGAUUUUGAAUCAUUUUCUUCCAAGGCCAAAGGUUUGUGCUUACUUUUUUGCAUGAAUUUUGUGGUUCCUUCUCAUACAUCGGUGAUUGUGCUGUAGGUUACAUGAUUAUCAAAUUCUUGCUCAGCUAGUUACUUAUUAGUAAUCUAAUAGUCUGUAUCUCAUGCUACAUUUGUCAAGUGGAUCCCAUAUGGCCUCGUUAAGAAAAUAUAUUGAGAAUAUAAUGUACAAGGUUUUUGUUACCAUCAUCCCCUUCGCAUCUAUCUUCUUGUAUGACAAGUUUUUCUGUGAUUUGACCAUGUACACUUCCAUCCUCAGGUCGUCCACCUUCAUCUGCCACAGCUCCUCCAAAGGGUUCAGGCAUGCAGCUUGGAAAAUCACAAAGGACUAACCAAUUUAUAGAGUCCUUAAAAGCAGAGGGAGAGGUGAUUCCUGAAGAUGUUCAGCCAAAAGCAGGCCUGUCCAAAUCUGCUGCCCCACCUUUAACUGAUCCCGUCACUUUGAAUGUUGAAGAGAAACUCAAUGUAACACUCAAACGGGAUGGUGGAGUCAGUAACUUUGAUGUUCAAGGAACAUUAUCCCUGCAAAUUCUUAACCAAGAAGAUGGGCAUAUCCAAGUCCAGGUACUGUGAAUCUAUGCAUAUAUAUAUAUAUAUAUCAAAUAUUUUAGUGGGCAUAAUGAGUAUUCUAUUCAAAUAUUUCAAAGGUCACUUUGAUGUGGUGUUACACAUCUUGCAGCUGACUUGGUUGAAUAUUAGGUUUGUCUGAAUUAAAUAGAAGAUUACUAGUUGUUCUUGCUAUGGGAGAUUUCUGGAGAUUUAUUUAUGUUGAUUGUUGACUUUUUAAGCUUGCUUUGAUUGUGGAUCUGUUUGUGUUCAUGCUUGCAGUAGUAGGUCACGUGCUUCUCUUAUUGUAAUCUGGUUUGGUCUUCUUUGCAGAUUGAAACGGGUGGAAAUCCUGGCAUCCUUUUCAAAACGCACCCUAACAUGAACAAAGAACUAUUUUCUAAUGAAAAUAUUCUAGGCCUGAAAGAUCCUAACAGGCCUUUCCCCACUGGUCAAAGUGGUGAUGCAGGAGGUGUUGGUCUUUUGAAGUGGAGAAUGCAGAGUCAAGAUGAAUCGAUGGUGCCUCUACAAAGUGGGUUCAAGUCGUUUUAUUAUUUUGUGUACAAUUUAUCUUGUAUUCUCCUUUUUGUUUUGGUCAACAAUUAUCAUGUAUUCUCUGAUAAUUAAAUAUUAAUUUGUCUAUGUUUCAGUCAACUGUUGGCCCUCUGUUUCUGGAAAUGAAACUUAUGUCAACAUUGAGUAUGAUGCUUCAUCAAUGUUUGAUCUGCGGAAUGUUGUCAUCUCAGUACCUCUUCCAGCUCUCAGAGAGGCUCCAGUGGUGAAGGAGAUUCAUGGUGAAUGGAGGUGAAUUUAAACUUUUGUUUUACUUUUUUGUUUUGUUUGUUUUCUCUUAGAAGUUAUGUUUUUGAAUUUGGAAACAAGUUUGGUUUAGAAUUUAGGUUACUUUCAUGACGGCAAGUGUGAAUGUCUGUCUAUCAUUAUGGGUUCACAAAGUCAUAAAUUUCUGAUAUCGUUACUUUCAAGUGAUUGGAAAAAAUUUGUCUGCUUCAAAACCAACUCUUUGAUAUAUCUAUGUUUUUUGGAACUUACAUUGCUCAAACUUGAUAUCAACUAUUUUAUUGCAGAUAUGAUGCAAGGAAUUCAGUAUUGGAGUGGUCAAUACUUCUUAUUGAUAAUUCAAACCGCAGGUAUGCAAAUACUGGCUGGACUGAAUCCGUUGGAUUGUGAAAUACUCCUUAUGUACUAGUGUUAAUCUUGAUGGUUAUCUUAUAUAAAUUUUCUUUUAUCAAACUGUUGGCAGUGGAUCAAUGGAGUUUGUUGUUCCCCCAGCAGACUCGAAUGUAUUCUUUCCCAUUUCUGUGCGCUUCUCUGCCACUAGUACAUUCAGUGACCUAAAGGUAUGUUUCGGGCAACUGCUUGAAUGCUGCUUGAUGAAAAUCCUUGCGCUAUUUUGACUUGCUAGUUUUGAGCUUGGAUAACCCAUAGCAUGCUUCUAGCCUUCUAUAACUAGGCGCCAUGACUGAUAAUAGGUACUUCAGGAGUUUUGGAACUGUUGUGUUGCCUUAACUUUGGUCAAGGCAUUAAGGAGUUGUUGUUAACUGCUGAUUAACUCUAUUAGCACUUCCAACUUCAUUGAAGCCUCAAACAUGCCUGUGAAGUAUGUUGCAUGCAUUGGUUAAUACUCCAUAGGAGUCAUUAGUAGUUUAGUACAUGUUGGUCUUGUGACCUAGGUCUGACAAUACUUCCGAAUUUAUGUAGAACACAUUUUUUUUAUAUCUUUUCUUGAAUGGCCCUCUGAACGUGAUCUUAAUCCACCCACCUGCAUUGAACUUCUUUUUAGUAGAUUUACAUUAGCGGAGAUACAAGAUUGUGCCAUUUAAAACGUUUUCUGUUGUUUUCUUGUACAACAGAGUAAGUUCAAUGCAGUUGCUCUGAGUAAGUUCAUCACGAAUUCCUCUUUUGUAGGUUGUUAAUAUAUUACCUCUGAAAGGUGGUGCUCCUCCCAAGUUUGCUCAGAGAACACAGUUGCUCACAGAGAACUACCAAGUUGUGUAAUUGGUCUGCAGGCGUUUGUUUGCAACUAGAUUUUCAGUUUCUGCAACUUUUUGGAUGUGGAUUGGAUCCUAUUACAACAAUUUAUUCGAUAGUGUCAUUUUCUUGCUGCAUUUGAGAUGGAGGAUGCAAAUUUUUAUUAAGUUGAACGUAAUUGUUCCCUGGAUGCUUAUAUACAGUAAACAGUAUUUCAGUGUAUCCGACUGUCCGAGUUCUUUUGUGCUACAUCAACAUAACAUUAUAUUCUGUUCAUUUCUCUCAACCAAUAAUACUAGCUUUUUGACGAACAGAGCCACUUUAAGUUUACCAUAGUUUUUUUCAGCAAUAAAAAAAAGAAGGAAAGACGAGACGAAAAUGUGUGUUUAUUUAAUUUUCUAAUUACAAUGCGCUUCCUUAUAGUUUGUGGCAAUAGUGAGGGCGGGGUUGGGGGGCACCGUCAUACAGAAGAAGCCGGGCAGUUCAUCUGAAGAGGGUGAUCUGCAGCUUGGUUGGCGUCAGUUCUAGUGCAUGUUUAACUAACAUUAGGGGUAGCGUGCGAACAAAUCUCAGAAGCACUAGGGAGUGGUGAGAGGAGAUAGCUUAAAUUAGAGGAAUAGGUAAUCUGAUUCAGCUAUGAUGGGAGCGUACAGCAGGUUUGCUGAGAGAGAACAACAGUCAAGGGUGAGUGCUAACGCUCAGCCACUGUGAACAAAAGCCGUCUGAGAGGAUGCCGGAUAGCUAACGAACCAAAGCUAUAAGGCCAAAGCUGAGGUUGGAUAGAUGUGAAUGUGAUGAUGAGUCAGUAUUAUUCUUGAAGCAAUUAGUAGCUUUGUGGAGAUGUCUGUGCUUUGUUUUGGAGCGAAGAAAAACAGUGUGAGACCGCAGGGCCUUGUCUAUAACUUCUGCAGGCGCAGGAGACUAAUGUUGAAAGACACAGGCAACAAAGCAUAAAGGAUGCUGGAGAACAUUUCAUUACUAUUUGUUCCUUGUGUGUGGGUGGCCAACUACAGGAGAAGAGGAUGAUGGCUCAAUGGUCUCGUGUGCGGAGUGAGACAAAGGUAAACUUGAAGAAAAAGAAAAAGAAGAAGAAGACGAAAGAUAACAUGGAACGUUGGGUAUUCACAUCGCCAGAUUACGACGACUUUCGAACAACAUGUUUCAUCAAAGACAAGAUAUGGUCAGCAAUAAUUGACAGCAGCCUGUAAGAGAAUUUUGUAGCAAGUAAGAUUGUUGAUUAGCUUCAAUUACCGACAGUGAAGCUGAGCUAUCCAUAUUGCAUUGGUCAUACACAAGUAACAAAGGUUUGUAAAGUUCCCAUCUAUAUAGGAAAAUUUUAUAACGAUGAUGUUACUUGUCAUGUGAUUGACAUGGACGACACUGAUGUGCUUUUCGGAAAACCAUGGCAUGAAAACGUCAAUAGUGGUUAUUGCAAAGAUGGUACAUAUUUACUUAGAAAGGAUUUGCGCAAGAUCAAAAUCAAGCCUGCAAGAAAGAACAUUAAGAUUGACCAUCCUGAGGUGUGUGAAAAGAAUGAUGAAGAAGUCACUUUAGAGAUUAAAGAAGAAAUUGCUCUUGUUGAAGAAACCUUGCAGCCUCUAAUAUAUCAAUUAGAAACAAUUGUGAUUCAAGGUUGCAAUAUUCAUGAGAGCCGAGAAGAAUCUAUUCAAGUUGCAUAUGACAAACUCAUCUAUGGCGUUGGGUUCAUGGUUGUGCCAUUCGAGUUCGCAGAAGAGCAGGCUUACAAACCACAGGUUCAAUUGUUUAAUUUAUUAUUAAGUUUCUCUUCUACAAGUUCUUGUUUUGCAUUCAAGAUGAACUCGAGGUCGAGUUCUUUCGUAGUGGAGGAGACUGAUGUAGAACGAGAAUGAGCCAAAUUUAGACAGAAAAAAAAUAAAAGUCAGGAAGCAACGAAUAAUCAAAAAGAAUGAUUUGAAGAUCGGUAAUUCUCGUAUCAUGAGGUUGCUAGCCGCUGAAAUAUUCAAGAAGUUGUUGUUUUGGACUUUUCGGGUUUGUUGCGCAAAAUCUUUAAAUAUAAUUUGGAGUAACUUUUGGCCAAAACGUCCGUUUGGGAUGCAUAAGACAUUUCCGGAAUGGAAACGACGAGAUCUACAAUGCCAGAUUUAGGCCAAAAAUAUCGUUUUAUAUAUCCGAUUUGGCAUUUAGUAUUAUUUUAGGUUUUUAGUUUAUUUUGGAUUUGUUUUCUUUUAACCUAUGAGCUUUUAGGCUUGGUUGUUAGUUGCCCUAGGGUUUAGUUUCUUCUAUAUAAGGACCCUUAAUCGGUUGUAGUAGUCAGCUUUAAUAUUAAUAAAACCCUUGAGUUUAUCUCAAUUUUUUGGUAGAUUCUAGAUUCUCUCGUGGAUUCGAGAAAACCAGACUUGUGGAUUCCAACAUUUAGAUUUCCAUUGCAUCACUUUGAUCUGCGGAAAAGGUAUUAGCAUGCUAUAUCCAUUUCCAAAUUGUGGUCACAAAGAUCUUGAGGAGAGGAUGACAUACAUCACUGAUACAUAGAAAUGCAUUGUUCAGGUUGAGGGAAUCGAUAGAGCAAAGCAAAAUAAAUUGAAAAAAAAAAAUGCAAAAACCACCAAUUUGUACAAUGUUGGUUGUAAUGCAAAAUAAAACUACAUUCUACAUAGGGCGUGCAUUACCUGCAAUAUUACUACAUUCUACAUGAGGGAGACAAAGCUUAUUAUUCAGGGCUAAUAUUAGUAUCUAUUAGUAUUUACAACUCGAUGUUGUCUUCUACUUCUAAAAAUUGAGGAUCAAGACUCAUAUACACCAGUAAGGUUAAAGUAGGGAAAAGAACAAAAGUUCAAUAAGCAAAAUCAGCAAAAGUAGUGUUGUAACAAGGGAAACGAUCCAUCGGUUCAACUAAAAGAUCAAUCGGUGAUAGCAACCGAAACCGGGCGUUUCAAUUAAAAACUCUUUUGUGUCAAUUGUAAUAUAUAGCAAAUAAAGGUAUCGUUAUAAAAGCCGAGGAUUGAGGGUAUCUUUACAAUUACGUUUUUUACAAAACAAGAGAAAACAAAAGAUAAUAGUACUAGAGAUAUGGGGUUUUGUGAUUAUAAACAAGAGAAAACAAAGAAACAAAAUAAAACAGAAAAUAUCAGAUGGAUGAGACGUUAGAGACUUGGAAAUCCACCACCAAGUAUGUUUCAAGAUAAGUUAACAACCAAAGCUUCAAUCAUUAAGUCACAAAUUGGUAUCAAUCAAGAACAAACCGUGAACGCACUGCGUAAGUCCUUAUUACUUUCCUUAAUUACUUAAGCAAGAUGAACACACCAUUACUAAGCCUUUAAAAUAACCGAUCAAGGUAUAAACGCUAUCCUAUCAACAAAUUAUUCUAAGCAUUAAGAUUAAUGGAAGUGAUUGAACAAGUAUGCAAAACUAGUGUGAACGCCUACCUAGCAUGCAAUCUUUUUUAUUUGGUUUCACCUAUUGUCCUAUAUGUUUCACUACUUUGAAACAGGCCAUUUAACCGUUUAGGAGAUUAAUCAACCUAUUUCUAGCCCCACUCACAAGUUCAUAAUGUUCUAUGUUGCGCAUACAUGAACAUAAACAAGAAAAAGUUCCCCAUAAACCAAAACCAAAUAAACAAUUUGAAAGACUCAAUAAUUUAAAACCAAGGUUCAUAACAAUAUUUAAAACAUUCUUGGGGCUUCAAACCUUGCCCCUAACUAAGAAAAUUCAGCUACACAUGCUGCAAAAUCACACAAGAAGAAUAAAAGAUGACAAAGGAAAGAUAAACCGUGGAUGAUGGAGAGAUCAAUGAUGGCUUGGCGGCUUCCUUGUGCGAGUCUGCAAGUAUGGAGGUUCUGAUGAUGUGAGAUCGUUGGCCUCCUCUAAUCUCUUCACCUCCCUUUCUUUUCUGCUGUGGUUAGGGUUAAGAAACCCUCAAAAUUUGUCUACGGGCUUGCCAAUGUGGUCUGGGCCUCAAAAUAGAAGUUUUGGUCCAAAUCAGAAAUUCGGGCAGACUGACAUUCGGCCAUUUAAACGGUCAUAACUUCUUCUUCAAAAUAGGUAUUGAUGAUCCGUAAAAAUUUCUGGAAAGUAGACUCUUGUAGCUUUCCAUUGAUAUAUGGCACAUCUCCUGGAUCGUUGUGAGGUAAUCACAAUCUUCUGUCGAAGUUGACUGAUAAUAUAUGGCAGAUUUUCUGAUUUCUUUCCUUGCACAACAUGGAUUCAUUUUCCUUCAAGAUUUCUCAUCUUUCGUCUUUUUUGGGCUCCUCGGCUUUAUUUAUGACCUAAAAACACAAACUUAGUUAAUAUGAAUAUUGUUAAAGGAAUUACAUAGCUAAAUAGGGUCGGAAAUACAUUAUAAACAUAACACUUUGUGCUCCUAUCAAUCGGUUUAGAUAUAAAAUGAAAAUUUACAAUUGCAAACGAUAGUUUUUAACUGUUUACGAUUUGUGUUCCUAAACCAUCGAUCAUAAUAACAGCAAAAUAAACAGUAAACAUGUGAAAUUUUUAUCUUCCGCAAGCCUUUUGAGAAAGAUUCAGGCAUAUGCAAGAACAUACAAAAAGGUUUCACAAAUGCAAAGUGAGAUACUCCUUUUCUCGUGAUUAUAGUGUUGUUUGGGAUGGAGGGGUAUGUUCCUCCUCAUUUGAGUGAGAGAAGGAAACUUUUUGAAUGCUAACCUUGGUGAUACUCCUUCAUACUAAUGGAGGAGCAUUAUGCAAAGUAGACCACUGUUAGCAGCUGGAAUGGAACGGAGAGUGGGGGCAAAUGGUGAAGAUAAAAAAUUUGGGAAGAUCAAUGGAUCCCAAACUGUCCAAAAUACAUGGUGCAACGUCCACAGGAUACUAUGUUGUCCGCAUGUUUCAGAGCUCAGUCUGCCGCAUGCAGAACAUGGAUGGUGCAGGUCGUUCAGUCAGUAGUAUCCCUCAGACAGUCUUCUUCGCCGGAUAGAAUAAGUUGCAAGCCAGAGAAGCACUGCACUUGGUAAAAUCUGCGUAUUGGAUUGCUCGACAACAAGUGCUAGGUAAGAACUUCUACGUCUAAUAGUGUCAUAGUGAUUCAUAUUUAGAGCUGUGGAAGCGUUUGUGGAGGGCCAAAGGGGGAAGGUACACAUUUGUGUAUGGAAGGCAAGCCACAAUAUUCUCCCUACUCGAGAAAGACUACUCACUAAAGGGUAUGAAGGGCCACUUGGAUGUCUGCUACGCCAUUCUCAAUUAGAAAGCCGAGAGCAAGUCUUUGGCCACUGCUUUAUAGCUCUCGUACCAUAUUGGCAUGUAUGCCUUUUUCCAUUCACUCUAGCUCACCUCCAAAAUUUAAGGACUGGUUACUACAAUACUACAGCCUGCUCUAAAUCCCAAGAGUGAUGUAUUUGAGAAACUCCUCAUGGAGAUAUGGGGACCUUGGAGUAAUAGAAACCGACAGCUAUGGGAAGGAAAAUCACAGGAGAUCAUGGCUAUUGUUUUGGGCGGCUUUUGCAUGGCUCACAGAAUUUCAAAAAGUUCGAUUUGAUCCUACUGUGCAUCUGCUAAGAAGAACCAACAGUGGAGACUGACUGUAGUUCCUAAAUUGAAUGUAGAUGCGGCUUUUGGAAUCAAUGCAUUGAAGGGGUGGCAUACUUAGGGACCCACAUGACAGGUUCAUAGCUGCAUUUGCGCAAUCAGUAUCUCAUAACACCUCGGCUCAGCACGCUGAGCUUGCAGCUCUAUGGAAGGGACUAAAUUUUCUUGAUCAGAAGGGUAUCAAGCAAGCAGAAGUUGAAACAGACUGUCUAUUAGCAGCGCAUGCUAUUCAUAGUCCAGAAGAUCUUUCAGAGCUCAGCAACUUAGGUACUGGAUAUCAAAACUAAACUUAACUUCAUACUUCUAACAUUUCUCUGGAAAGAACCAAGGCAAACAUAUAUCAAUAAACUUAAGAUUAAUGAAACAGUGCAAUCACCUGACAGUAGAGUCACUUCUCAGCCAGUGGGAGAACUUACAUUUACCCUCUUUCAAUGACCAGUUGGAAACCAUAAAUUCUUACCAAUAUAAAACACAAAACCAUGCUCAACAACUAUAAAGCUUGCCCAAAAUAAAGUCAAGCCAUCAAGAGAUUUGCAUUAAGACUUAGAUUACCCUGAGAUUACAGUAUUGGUAAGAGAACAAAACUUUAAGAACCAAAAGAGAUGACACAGAUGCAAGACUAUAUUGUUACUAAUUGACUGUCCGUCCUCCCCUUGUGCCAUUUACCUUAAAAUCAUUUUGUUCCAUCCGGACAAACCAAGCAACCAGAGAAAUAUGCACUCACUGCAUUUAAAAACGGAGUGGAAAAACUAAUUUAAAUUUUCAUUGCUUGGUACGUAUUCAGAUAAUGUAACUCAUUUUCAAUCUAAUUUCAAGGCAUCAGUAUUAUACCUGGUCUGGUAAGUGGUUGUAUAUCAGAGACUCUUUGUCUAGAUGGUCCUUAAUAUGCUGAAUUACUGUGUCCACAUUGCCAAUCAGUUUGAACCCAUUCUUCUUCAGGCAGAGCUUAAGUUGCUCUGCUCCUAGUUUCUUAAUCCAUUUGUCUGCCACCAAAAAAUCAAAGAAUUUUCAUCAGUACACCAUUAAGAUCAAUCAUGACCAUUUUUUCUAAUAUUUUGCUGUUACUAAUGGUAUAUCUCUUCAUGAAAUUGCUCAAAAGAAUGCAUUGUUUAAAAAAGUAAACAUCUCAAAGCCUCACCUUGAAUCAUCUUCUGGACAUGUUCAUUCUGAUAAAGCUCAGGCAUAAUCAUCUACUCCCCAUCAAGGUCUUUGUCAAGAUCAAUAACCAUCACAAUACUACAAACGCAUAUAUACCCACUUAAAUUUCAACUCUUAAAUCACAGAUUAUUAUCCUUAAGAUUCAUAAAUCAAAGAACCCAUUAACAAAAAGAUAAAAAGAUGUCUAACAUGACUCAUCGGGCCUUGGAUGUACUAUUGAUACAGAGCUAUACGAACAGCAGAUCAUCGGAUCAUUAACUGAAUCAUCGGAAUCGGGGUCGGAUUCUCUGCUUUCCGAGCAAGACCGUGAUCAAAAUAUUCGCAUCGAUCAAUAUCUUGACACCUCUAACCCUCAACCAACUUGUCGAACAAAAUGAUUCAGAGGCUCUGUUGACNNNNNNNNNNNNNNNNNNNNAAAAAAAAACCAAAACCAAAAACCGCCAGUCGAAAUCAGCAGCAGCCGAAAUGUCCAAUCAAUCAAAGGAUAACGAAGAAGAUAAAGAAGAAAAUUGGUGUGGAUGAAAGCUGUCUUCAGAACCCGUCGAUGUGGGUCUCUCUGGGCUACAGCUGAGGGACAAAGGUGACAAAGCGCCAGAGCAACUAUGGGGACAAAAGCGUAAGGACAGAGCUCUGCAUAUCCUCCUUUGUAACUAAGAAGGAGGGAAAGAAUAGCGAUGUAACUAAGAAAAACAAGCAAGAACAUAUAGCACUCUAUUUUGUAAAAUCAUAAAGUUUACUUUUUAUAAAACUAGUCUCUAGCCUACUGCACUUCCAUUUUACCCAAAACAUAUGGGUACUAAUAACUUCAAUGACAUAGAAAAGGGAAUCAUGCUCGGGAAUGAUCUGCUUUUAUGGGCCAUUGUCAGAAAUGUUGUCAACAAUGAUUUGCAAGAAAGAUUUGUGCUGUCAUUAAGGACGAUUUCAUCAUCUAAACAACAUCCAAUUCUACAAAACCUUAGGAGUUAGGACUAUAUAGUUUCUCAGCAAUCAGCAAACAUUAACGAAAAUGCAAGCUGACAAGUAUUCGAUUUGAACAUAAAACUGGAAAGAAUCUGACCUGCAAAAGCUCAGCCAUUCUCUCACGAGCAAGCACCACCAAUAGCAAUACAAUUCAGAACUUGUAGUGAUGCAUUAGGAAACCAAACAGCACAUGUUUGUCAGUUGUUAGUCUGACUCCUCAAUCAAAAGAAGGCUCUUUGACCAUGAGAUUGAUUUUUUCUUGAAGAAAUUUCAAUACAUCUUCUCUUCCUUCUUUUAUAAGCAACUGUCUUAAUUUUCCAAACAUCACACCUGAUGGCCGAAUCCCCUUCUCUACCAUCUCUUCCAGUAAGACACAAGCCUUUGAAGCAUUACCGUUUUCACACAAUCCAUUUAUAAGGACUGAAUAUGUAUGCAUACUGGGGAUAAAUUGUUUCAUCUUCAUGUACUUCCACAGUUUGCUUGCCAUCUCUAAUUUAUUUCUCUCGCAGAACAUUUUUAUCAUCAUUGUAUAUGUAUCUGCAUCUGGAUCACAUAUUUUGAUCAUUUUACGAAAGACACUAAAUGCCUCAUCAGUUUCUCCACGGUCAAUCAAGCUAUGUAAGAUGAUAUUGCAUGUCCUUGAAUUGGGUACAACAGCUUUAGAUUUCAUAUCACUUAAGACCCUGUACACGUUCUUGAACUUGUUAACUUUACAAAAAGCACCAAUCAAGGCAUUAUAGAUGGCUACAUCAGCCUUGAUUCCAUUCCUUUCCAUCUCCAAGAAUGCUUCAACAGCAUCUUCAAUCCUAUCCUCCACCCCAUAUGUAUGCACCAAAACACUAUAAAUAAAAGAUGUAGGCAUACAACCACUAGCAACCAUGCCCCGAACAAUCUCAAUGCCUUCAUCCACCCUCCCUGCUUUGCACAGAACAUCAACCAUGAUACCAUAAGUCACUAUAUCAGGAAUACAGCCUGCGUCAACCAUUUCUCUAUAGACCUCCCUUGCCUUGGGCAAAUUCGGAUCCUUUCCCCAUCCAUCAAUUAAUAUACUAAACGUCUUUGAGUCUGGCACAAAGCGGUCCUUCAUUUUAUCAAAAAUCUCCUGAGCCUUCCUCACAUUCUUGGAUUUGCAUAAAGCACUAAGCAGGUCAUUGAAUGCCGCUAAGUUCGGAGCACAAUCAUAUUUUUCCAUAACAUUAAACGUAUAAAGCGCUUCCUCGACCUUCUGGGCCCUUGCAUACUUCCUCAUAAUGAUACUAAAUGUCUCCAUAUUCUGCAUCCUUUGGGUCCUCAUUGAGUUCACAAGCUCCCACAUGAUCUGGUACUGCCUUAUCUUGGCCAAAGAAUCGAUCAUAGCAUGGUACGCCUUAACACUGUGCGUGUAGUUCCUCUGCUUCCCUGCCCAUUCAAAGAACCGAUACGCGACCAUCCCAGCAUUCUUGAAUCUCACGAGAACAUCCUCUACUAUUUCCGGCGAAAUUCUGACCCCACUUUGAUCAAGUGCAGUAUCAAGUGCGAGUGUGGGGCAAGACAUCAUGAUUUUGCAUAUUCUUUUGGUUGGAUCAUCAGCAAUGUGCCUUGUUGCUUCACAAGAAGAGUAAUUUCGAGAGAGCACCAUCCAUCGAAAACCCAAUUUUUCUCCACAGCUCUUUAUCUUGAUAAUCAUAUUCAUUGUAAUGUAACCCAAUAGACACUAAAAUCACCUGAAGGUAUUGAAACUAAUGAGGGACAUCAAAUAUGUUCAAGACACAUAAUAAUCAAGACAGCAACAAUUGAAGCCUCCACCAAACCCAACACCCAUUUGUUCAGACCCACAAAGAAACAUGAUGAUCUCUUAGAAAGUAUUUGAAUCAUUCAGCUGAGUCUUGAAUGGUUAAAAUGAGUGGUUUUACCUUGUAUUUCGUCGUCGUCGUCGUCGUCGUCGUGCAAAUGCUUUGCUCUGGCCACUGACAGAAGACUGUUGUUUCUCUUUUGGUUGUGUAAAAGAUAGAGUGAUUGGUGGGUCGGUCGGUGGGCAAAGAAAAUAGACGGAGUGGUGCCGUGUCACUGUGUUAGUAUCUGAGAAGAAGAAGAAGAGAAGAUAAAACUAUUGUUGGUGGGAGGGCUCUAAUAAUGAUAAACAUCUUGUUUAAUGGUUUAUUACGCCCACAUUUUAAUCAUAUUUUUUUAUCUCAACCAUUUAAUUUUUAAGUCUAUAUAAGAAUAUUACCUUUACAAAUUUUCAGUAAAAUUAAUGAUUAUUAAGAAAUUGAACUAAAUAAAAUCAAUGGACGAUCCAAAUCUGUCAAACAUGAACAGUACAAGUUUAUAAUCGGUAAAUCACAUUUAUGAAUGCCUUAACGAUUUUCAAUUUGGAUGAAAAAUUGUAGAAAUGAUCUACUCAUAUAUAUCUACAAAUUAGACGGUCGAGAUGUGAAUAUGUGAUCGAAAACAGGGUGAAACAAAGAAGUCAUCAACUAGUCCCAUAUUCAGGUUACGAGUUGAAGAGAGAAGAAUAUGGUUUUGCAUACAGGGGAGGGUAAAAAUCGGGCUGGGCUCGGGCUCAGACCAACAGUGUUUUUGGAGGAACCGGGCCCGGAUUGGCUACUGUUGAACCGGGCCGUUUUUGCACAUAAAUUCACCGAGACUGGCAAGAGCAAAAGCCCGGCCGGUUCUGCCGGUUUUCCGGGCCUUAGUAUCGUCGCCUUACUUAACGAUGCCGAGGAGAGAAAAGAAUACGUCGAGCAGUGAACAAGAAGCCAGGCCAAUUUUCGAGAUCUGAUCUCACCUAUUUGUAUCAGAUCCAAUCACCAAUUCAAACACCACCAAAUUCCAGAUCCAAUUGAUCCCAUUUCACUAUCCUCUAGUGCCCUAUACCAGAUCCAAUCUCACCACCACCAAAUUCCUUAUUAUGCAGUAGACUAGGUGGUGUAACCCAACACCUUAUUGAAGUAGUAAAGUGUUUCAAGCUUAUAACCAUUACUGAUAUUCAUUGAAAAAUGAAACAAAUACAUCUUAUUCAAGAUAGAAAUAGAGGAAGGUAGUCAAUAUCAUCCCUAUCGAGAUAAUAAGAAGACCUUUCAAUGCUGAAGCUUAAGCCUUCCCAUAGAAGUUUGACACAGGUUGCAUUAGAUUUCUGUCUCGCAUCGGUUAGGCACUUUCUUCUGACUACCUCGAUUGGGUGCUCGGUCGGAGAGUCUUUGAGGGCGGAGGAGGGGUUUGGGGUUUCAAGAACUAGAGGCGGUGGCGGGAUUGGGGGUUUCUAGUUAGGGUUUGGUGGUGGUGGGAUUUGGCUGAGGACGGUGUCAGAGCCAUUAAAGAUUAGAGCUUUGGGGUUUAGGUUUCAAAGAUCGGAGCUUUAGGAUUUGAGAAUUGGGGAUUCAGAGAGAGAGAGAGAGAGAGAGAGAGAGAGAGAGAGAGAGAGAGAGAGAGAGAGAGAGAGAGAGAGAGAGAGAGAGAGAGAGAGAGAGAGAGAGAGAGAGAGAGUAGAGAGUAGUAGAGUAGAGUAGGUAGGUAGGUAGGUAGGUAGGUAGUAGUAGGUAGUAGUAGUAGUAGUAGUAGUAGUAGUAGUAGUAGUAGUACGUACGUACGUACGUACGUACGUACGUUACGUACGUACGUACGUACGUACGACGUACGUACGUACGUACGUACGUACGUACGUACGUACGUACGUACGUACGUACGUACGUACGUACGUACGUACGUACGUACGUACGUACGUACGUACGUACGUACGUACGGUACGUACGGUACGUACGUAGAGACGAGAGAGAGAGAGAGAGAGAGAGAGAGAGAGAGANAGAGAGAGAGAGAGAGAGAGAUGGUGAGUGUAAUGACUUGAUGGGUAUGAGCAGGAGUGUAGGACGUUGUGGGCUACUGGGCUUUAUUAAUUGUAUAACAAUUGGAACAAACUACUACUACUCUCGGGCUUUCGGGCCAUAAUUUUUUCUUAUUAUUAGGGGCCGGGCCCGACCUGACUGUUACUGGGCCCGGACCGAAUAUGUAAAAAAUAGACAUAGGACCGGGAAACAGCCCGACUCGGUCCGGCCAGGCCCGGUUAGGCCAACCGGUCCGGUUCGGGCUUUUUUGCUUGCUCGGGUUUUAUGCCCACCCCUAGGUAAAAAUGACAAGGAACCUAAUGAAUAAAUAAAUUACCUCAAUUUUCUGAUAACUGGUAAUAGACUCCCUCGAAUGAUUUAACAUUUUAUAUUUCAACGCUUCUAAAAUGUAUCCGCUUCCAAAUGUUUUUAGAAAAAAACUCUUCCGCUUCCAAACGCUUCGCUUUUACGUACCCACACCCAAUUCCAUGCAGCAUAACUGUUUAGUGCUGUGUUUCUUUUUUCAUAUAAAGUGUGUAAAGUGAAUUUAAUUAUAAGGAAAAUAAUAGAUAAAUAAUAAGAAAAUAAAAAAUAAUAAUAAAACAAAAAAAAAAUAGUGAUUUCCGCUUACAAACACUUCCAAACCGUACUUUUUUUACACCCCCUAAUACCAAAGCCUUAGGCUUCGUGUAGUAAGCGGCGGCACGGGAGGGUGUCUCCAACGCUGGGUUUCUAGGUAAGCAAAUGCAGACAACAUCUCCGGUGAUUUGAAGCAAGGUGUUGUAGGCUACGUGUCGGGGUCGCGCCUUUGAUCUAUUUUUUUUGUCUAGGUUUCUCCGAUGCAGCGUUAGACGGUGUAUGUAGUGGUCGAAGGUUUCUUUUCCCAGCAGUGACAUGGUACAAAUCUAAGUCUCUUGGGUCCUAAAGGGCGGCAAGGCAAAGAACAUAAUGUGGUAGGCAGCGUUGGUGAGUGCUGACAUAGCCAAGUCGGAGAGUCAUUCUUCUUAUUUGCCUUGGUGCGCGCAAUGCUUCUCAACGACAGCUUCUCGGAUUAGUGUCCUUUGGGGUUUGAGGUUGCAAGCACGCAACUAUGUUUUUGUGGAGAGAGAAGCCGUCAAAUUGAAAUGUCAGUUGAAAGCGCCUCUGGAAAGCGCGGCAGUGGACGUACGUGGAUGCGAGAGAGGAGGGGUAGGUUGGGCAUAUGAGAUUUAGUUUCUCUAGGUUGUAGCAAUGUGAUCGUGGCUGUCAAUUAUUAGAACAUGGUUGCCAUUUAAUUACUAAAACAUCAUGGCUACCAUUUGAGUUGUGAAAAUCUUACUGCCACUGCCAUGUGAAUGACAACAUAACAUCAUGAUCCUAGAUUAUAUCAAGCUAGGAUUCAUAUUGGGCUUCCCAACUUAGAAAUAUGUAUUUAACCAUAAGCAAUGAGUAAUCAAAACAUAGAUCCCUUUUCUCUUUUGAAAAAUGACUUUUUAAAUAUGCUUAGGAAUUGCGGCCCAUAUCAAAACCCUUGUUUGAUAAAGAUUCUUAAUUAACAAUAACCCCUAUAAGUAGACAACCCAAGCACACUAACUAUUCAAAGCACAUAUUCCUUUCUCUGUUCUGCACCAUAUAAGUUUCUUUAUAUCAUGGAAUCUUUAGCCCAACAACCAAGCGUAGGAAUUCUCUAGAAGUAUGCCACGGUCCUGACACUAAUGUGUGAUAAGGUGAAAACAGGAGAAAUCCCAGUAUUGGCCUCGAAGGCUCCACCAGCUUAUUUCCUAUGACUACUUUCCUGAAGGCAUACCCCGAUAUAUCACUAAAGUGUUUUACUAAGAUCAGUCAGACAACUCUUGUCCUUUUACUGAGCAUGAGUGGUCAUCAUGGUCUUGCUUCAGGCCAGAUGGUUGGCCGACCCUUACAAAUGAAUGGAUAACUUGGGUUCCAAGAAUGAAGCAUUUUUUUGCCUAUCAUUGGCGAAAUGUUGGCAUUUACGAACCCAUCAAACUCACCGAACAAGAUAUAGUGGUGGAGAAGCUGCUACUAGCUCUCUAUGCUUUUAGUCCUCAGCUACAAACACAAUGAAUUUGUCAUUGGGUCUUAUGAGUCCGACAUUUAUGGACAUGUGUGGAGUUAUUGGAUUGCCACUAAUCAGGGUUGAAAUCAACUUGAAUCACAAUUUCUCUACUACUUUAAAGAUAGUUUACUUCCUCUUUAACUCACGGACAAACAAGCAAAGGCUCCAGAUAAACAAGCAAGAGAUCACGCUAAAGAAGUAAAAGGUGAAGCUCGAUCUCAAAAUAUCGAAAAGAACGCACAAGUAUGGCUCUCUGUAUAAGCAGCUCUUGACUCCGAUCCCGCGAACACACGACAUGUCAAAGAGGAUGAGCACAUGACACUUCUAUAUUAUUGGUUGUGCAAGUAUGUUUUCUGUUGCAGAGCGCGCUAAUGUCCUCAUGACUACACAUAUUAGCGGAAACGCUGGAAUCUGGCACCCAGUUAGCUCCUGGCCCAUUUGUCCUUGCUUAUUUAUACAAAACUUUGCACAAUAUUGUGAUUAACGACAUGGAUCUCAAUGAGUCAGUGGGUUAUUGUGGAAGUUCCAACUAUGGCUACGAACAUACUAUCCGAUCCCCAGACGUCAAACAUAAGAAUUGAAACCUGAACAUGAUAUGUUUUGUGGAGGACAACACGUUAUCCUCUUUCAUGCCUUUGGAGAAGAGUAUUUCCAUGUUUUACACCUUUAAAAGCUUCAAAAACCUACGUACUUGUUACCUUCAGUGGAGAUUGGCUUUUUUUGCAACUACCAAGGGAUUAGGACGGAAUGUGAUGAAUGAGGAAUGGAGAGCAUCGUGGGGCAACUUUGUGAUAUCGUGAUACUUGAAUUACAAAUUAACGCUCAACAGUCACUGUAAGUCGGGGGUAGAGGUCAACCUUCCCAACUAUUUUGCUCACCAGUUUGGAUUUAUCCAAAGCUGUCUCGCUCUUUAUAACAACACAUUGAAUCUUUUAGGCACAUGGCUCAAAAAAGCGCAGACGAAAGACGAGUGCGAUUUGGUUUCACAACGGUACCACGAUCAUCUUUCAAUCAUUUCAAAUGGAAAAUUUCCAAAUGAGUUCCAUAGCUACUCCUCUUUUUGUGUCUUGGUAGAGAGAUUAUUCAGAGAAAUUUGUGGAUCCAGAGUUAGAAGAUAUAUUUACAACGCGGAUCAUCCAAGGAGUUGGUGAUAUACUUCUAAAUCAGUCUGAUCAGAAAAGAAAACGAGCUUUCGUUAAUAACUGCAGUGAGCCAUCACCGUCCAAACAUCGAAGCUCUCUCUGUAUUAAAGAAAUCUUUAAAGAAACCUCUUCUGUGAGCUCGAACAAUAGGAGCGGCCACACCCUCGAAUUAAUUGCAAAUGAUGAUUGUGACUAAAUUUUUGGUGAGAGCGCAGAUGACGACAACGAAGACAAUGUUUCUACGUUUCAACAUUUCCUAAACCACCAUGUAGUCGUCUCAUCCAAUGACAAUAUUUGUUUUCUUACCGCAUGCUCUUUACGCCGAAGUGUUUAUGUAAACUGUCACACCCCAAUUUUCGAAUUUCGAAGGAUAAAUUUUCAAAAAAUUGGGUAUGAAAUAACUUAAAAUCUUAUUAUCCCAAAACCUGCUCAACAACUUCCAAACUAUAAACAAAUACUGAAAUGUAAAUGUAAAUAAACUCAUCAACCAAGUUAAACAUUACAUCUCCUUAAUUACAUCAACUUCAAAAGCCUAGUAAUAAUAAAGUCGCUCACAUGAGCUUAAAGACAACUUAUGAAAAUAUACAAAAUAAAAGCACAUUGUCUAAAACCCAGCUCCUAAGCCACCGCCUCAACCCUGCUGAUUAUCACCUGCAGGUUUAACCCCUACACCAAAAAAUAGGUACACCGGGUUGUAAACAACAAACCUGGUAAGCUGAAAAGCCCGUAUGAGUAACUCUCAAAAAAAUAUUUUAACCCAACAUCACACAAAAUAAAACCGGAAAUUCCUGCUUAGCACUUAGUUUAGGAAUUGCCUCAACAAUAAAAUUCAAAGAGAGAAAUUGAGAAAACAUAACAAUUCACAAAACAAUCAAUCAUAAGAGAAUCCUGCAAAUAAAGAUAGUUCAGGAAAUUCCACUCAAAAUUCACACAAUAAGAAUUGAAGAAUCUUCUGCAUUAAGCAUAGUUCAGGAGAUACUCAAAACAAGUUAAAUGACAACAAUUAAGAACAAAGUUAAAACCACAUUUUCAACACUUUCACAAAUAACAUGUACCCAUGAGUCCCAGAUAUUAAAAAAUACCUCUCAUGACCUACAACAACAAUUUGUGCACCCAUGAGUCCCAGAUACCAUAAGGUAUCUCCCAUAACCUACACCGACAGACGGACUAGAGCUCUAUUCCUAACCAUAACCAAUCACUCGGCCAAAGGCUUGGAACCCAGUUUGACUGUCCAAUAUCACAUCACAAAAUAAUAAUAGCGUCAUAACCGUAACCAAUCACCCGACUAAAGGCUUGGAACCCAGUUUGACUAUCUACACAACAAUUCUCAAAAAGAGUAGAAUCAUCAUAACCGCAACCAAUCACCCGAUUAAGGGCUUGGAACCCAGUUUGACUAUCUACUUGUUUUAUCUCACCUAUGAGCCGUUGGCGAUCAAGCUCAUUUAUUUUUAAAAACAAACAAUAGCAUAUUCUUUAAUUCAACAUUAUCAACAACACAAAAAGCACAUCAUAAAAAUUAUAUCCUUCCACAUAGAUAUAUUUAUAUGCACAAGACAUGGUUAUUCCCAUAAGAAUAACUUAUCAACAACCAAAAAUACUAUAAUUUUAUGAACCUUAAAAAUAAUCAUAUACUUGGAAAACUUGUUUUAUCUUACCUAUGAUUGGCAAUCAAGCUCAUUUAUUUUAAAACAACCAAAAGAAAUAAAAUAUUUUAAAUUAAAAACAUCAACAAUAAUUAUCAUCAUUUUAUCAACAUAAACCUUGUCAUCAUCACUAUCAACAUCAUAAUAGUCAUUAUCAACACAAUAAUUAUCACCAUCAUCAUCCUCAUCAUUAAAAAUCACCAUCAUUGUCACAUCCCGGUUCUUAAGUUAUUUUACGGUUAUUUACUUUGGUAUUAUUUUGGUCUUUUACCGUGUUAAGUCACCGUUUAUCACUUAAGGACCCUAGAGUUGACUUUUUCUUGCGUUUGGAAUUUGGGAAAACUUUCUUCAUGAAAGUCGUAGAGGACGUUUUUACGAGUUCGUAGACAUGCUAUGUGUUAAAAUCGGAGUUAGCAUGAAAAAGUUAUGAUUUAAAAGAGUAAUUUUUAAGAUGGGAAAAAUGGGGUAAAAAAAUUUAGUGGGUGUAAUUUUCAGUUGGGUUUCAUUGCUGGGCCAGCUCUUGAGCAGCCCAAGACCCCCCCCCCCCCCCCCCCCCCCCCUUCCCAUUUUCUCUCUUCUCCUCUUCCUUCGCUCUCUUUCUCCCGUGAGUCUCCCCGAGCCCUCUUUUCUGCUGGAUUUUCCCAGCGUGGCCUGUCACCGUCCGGUCAGCCACCAGCUGCCAGCCCACCCCAGUUCUGACCCCCAUCACCUCCUCUCUCUCCCCGGCCUAGCCCCUGAGCCGUUAGCCCGCCGGAAGAGGAGAAAACUCGUCGGAGACGUCGGGAAGCUUUUUGCCUGAAAUCCCACCUCCGGCCACCAUAGGUCGGAAUCUUUGGCUCAUCUUGUAACCCUCAUCAAGGUGAGUAUUCCCUCAAAAACAAUUAGUCUAUUUCGUUGUUGUUAUGGAGAAAUGUAUAAUUGAAGUUUUUAGGGAUUUAUGGAAGUUUGAUUCGUUUGCCCUAGUUAGCUUUAGAAAUGGACUAAGUGCUAGUUAUGAAUGUUGUUGAGCAUGAUGAGAGGAUUAUUCUGUGAAAAUUUGAGAAGCACUGGCCCUCGCCGGAAUCCGGCAGCCGGCCGCCGCCCCUUAGGGGCAGUUUUUCAUGAUUUUGGGUUUGUUUUAAUGAGAAGAGUUUAAUGAAGUAUAGUUGUGAAUAUUUGGAGGAGAUUUGAUAAGGUUUGGGAUUUAUCAAUGAUAAAAGAUUUAGACGGUUAGUCGAAUGGAAAUCCGGCAGUUGGUUUAGCAGGUUUUAAAGUCUAAAAAUGUUAAAUUAUGGCUUUCGGUAAGUGCGGAGUAAUGUGAGCCUUAUUAGGUAAAAGGUGGAGAAGUUGGGCAAGAGAAAAGAAAUUAUAGGCUUCCUUUUUAUUUCGGAAAUUUUAUUAAAGUUUUGUCCUGAUUUGGAGGCUUAAUGAUUAUUUAUUGUUCAUGACGUGAGGAGGAUCAUUUAGAGGAAGCCUCGGGCCAUCGGCAAGCAUAGCCGAGCACUGUGAGUGGACCUUUGAUUUUAAUAUCAUGCAUGCGCUAAAGUUAUUUAAUUUCAAAGGCAUUUGGAGAUAUAAUAUUUUGUUGGAUUAUCGAGUUUCACUUAUUUUUUUCGGAACUCUUGAUAAUUUUAGUUGACACGUGGGACGUGUCAAGUGUUUUAUAUUAUUUCCAUGUACAGUUGGGAACUGUACUGUGCGCUAUGAGUUUAUUAUAAUUUAUUUGGGGAAGUGUGAAUCAUUUUAUUUUAAUAUUGUACUUCACCAUAAAAUGGUUGAUAUAUAGAUUAUUGCUAGCUAACCUUAUUAGCGGUCCUCAUCAUAUGUGAGUCGCUAUUCUAGUCUUAUUAGCGGUUCUCAUCAUAUGUGAGUAGAGCGCUUAGCGUGGGACGCUGUUAUAGCUUGGGAGGUAACCGAUCGGUAUAUAUAUAUAUAUUUAUUGUUAGCUAGCCAUUAUUUAACGGUCCUCAUUAUAUGAGAGUUGAGCGCUUAGCGUGGGACGCUAUUAUAACUUUAUAAGCAGUCCUCAUCAUAUGUGAGUAGAGCGCUUAGCGUGGGACGCUAUUAUAGCCUGGGGGGCUCAUUGUUAUGGUGAAACCUCUUCCCUAUUCUUAUUGAUUUAUUGGGAACCAAUGAGAUUGGUUCAUUAGUUUUGUCUAUAAUUAUUUUCGGAAAGAUUUCCAAGAAUGGCAUGCAUAAAUAUUUUCUCAAUGGAAAAUAUGGGAAAAGCAUUAAAUUGAUUUCAAUGCUCUAUCAUUAAGUCCGUAUUUUUAUUAUUUAUUUUGUCCACUCACUCUAACGUUUUAAAUGGUUUCCCCUAGGCUUUUUGUUUUAAAUGCCCAAUCUGCAGAGCUCUGUUCGGCGAGAGUAGGAAGCGUGUAAUAUUUCCCACCUCAUCCAGUUUCUCUAAUAGGUUACUAGUUAACCUACCUAUGUAUUUCCUUCUUUCCUAGUAGAUGCUCUGAAUAACCUUGGGAUGUUUUAAGUGUGGUUGUUGUUGUUCUUGUGGUGUGUUAAGAGCUUGUGACUCCACCUAGGAGUGUUGAAAAAUGUUUAUUUGGCAUGUUAUAUAAAUUCAUGAAAUUAUUUCGAUUUAUUAUGUGAGUUGAGGUGGUGGAUGUUUAUUGGGGGAGCAGAUGGCUCCAGAAGAUGUGGAUUAAAUUGUUUUAGAAGUGUAUGGGCUUUGAUGAUUUUUCUUUCAGGUAGGGUUACUAUUUUCAAGAGAGGUUAUGCUAAAAUUUUGAUAGAAUUUCCCUUGAGGUGGGUCCCGCAGGGUUUAUUCCGGAUUUCAAGGGGAAAUCCGGGGUAGGUCCUGACAAUCAUAAUCAAUGUCAAAACCAACAUCACAAUCGUCAUCCAAAAUAAAAAGGUCACAAGUGGACCUUGGUGAGAUUUUACUCACCUAAAAUCCAGCUGCGUCUUCGCACACACAACACAAAAAUAUAACACCAAACCACACUCCACAAGUCACCUAUUAACAAAAAUAAUAACUUUAAUAACAACUUAACAAAAAGAACAAUGCACCCUUCACCAAACCUUAGCCUAAAGGUUGCCCAAAGGAGGACAAUCCUUUCUCCGAGACCUCCCACCCAACAACAUAUCCAUGCUGCCUCCAAGUUCAAACUUCAAAGUUUACAACCUAAAAAUCAAGGAAAAAUUUAGUUUACUACCCUGAACUUUAGGUCUAAAAUCAGUUUGAUACCUCAUCUUUUUUCUUAAUCAGUUUCAUACCUAAACUUUCAAAAUGACAUCAAUUUCAACCAAAAUGUCUAAAAUAGCCUUGAUUAAUCCUUUUACCCUUCCUCUCUCUCUCUCCCUGCCUCCAAAUCCACCACAUGGCCGGCACUGGCAUCCACCCCUACCACCAGCAAUGGGCCCCGGCGGCAGCCCCUCCUCCUCCCCCAGCCGUUGCCACUGCCAUUCUUAACUCUGAGAGGGUAAAAAGAUUAACCAAGGCUAUUUUAGUCAUUUUGGUUGAGAUUGAUGUCAUUUUGAAAGUUUAGGUAUGAAACUGAUUAAAAAAAAAGAUGAGGUAUCAAACUGAUUUUAGACCUAAAGUUCAGGGUAGUAAAGUGAAAUUAUCUCAAAAAUCAACAAUGAAAACAUAGCACUACCUAAUCACACUUAGCCUUAUCACAUAACAACACACUACCAACUACAAAGAAUAGCUAACACAGCAACCACACCCCCUCACACUGCCAAGAAGCGCCUUCACGCGCCGCCACAGACGACGGCGAGUAGGCCCCACGCGCCACCCUACAACUUCACAAUUUGCACAAACACCCAAUAACAACCUUAUAGAGCACAUUAAAAGGAACAGUUUUCAUACCUGUGGCCAAAGCCAAUUCGGCCGGAAAGAGGCCGGAAAAGUUCAAAAACAAACCGGCUGCCAAGAAGACUUCAAUCCGAUUCUAGACCUCAAAACGAGGUGUUUGGCAGCUCAAAACGUGCUUAGAGGGAAGAGAGCUUCAAGAACCGAGCAGCCUCAGCUCCAGUCGCCGCCGUACACGGCCGGAAAAUCGCCGGGUUGAAGUCGGGUCUGCCACCCUCUUUGUGGCGCUCGAUUCUCUCAAUUCCGGGUCGAGUCGUCCUCACCCACCUACACAGGGAGCACCACGCCAAGGAGAGGAAGAAAACCUGACCGGUGCCGGCGUCCAGGUCGGUCGGAGGUGGCCGAAAAAGUCGGGUCGGGUCAGAAGGAAAACUCAGGUUCUGAAGGUGAGGCGGGAGAGAAGGAAAGCGAAGAGAAGGAGAUAUGCGGGAAUGAAGGAACCCUAGAACUAAUUUUUAGUUAUACUAAAAAUUUCCAAAAGCCACAACACUUCUGUUGACCAUAACUUUCUUAUACAAAGUCCGUUUUACGCAUUCCGCGUGUCUACGAACUCGUAUCGCCAAGCUCUACAACUUCCGUGAAGGAAGUUUCUUGAGAAACCAAAAGAAUAAAAAAGUCAACCAAGAAGUCAACCGAAUAAAAAAAAUAGAAACUAGCAUCUAAAAAUUCCGGGGUAUUACAUAAACUAUUAACUUGAUUAUUUGUUACUCGAUCUUUAAGAACUAGAUGAGCUUGAACGCACCAGCCAGUCGCCAAAUGCCCACGCAGAAAUAACCACCAUUCAAAACAAUAUUUCCAACCAAGUAAGUCAUAAUUUUUAUUUUCAUUGCGGCUAACCAUUAGUUUUGGUGUCGUUUUACUUAUUAUCAUUCCCAAGCUAAUUCUUAUAUAUUCUUUUGAAUGCAAUCCAAUCUUGUCACAAAUCUAUUAUUUGCAGAAACCAUAGCUUUCUUGGACGAAUUUGUUGGGUAACUUGAGGUGCCACACAACCAUGAUUUCCGGAAAAAAGAGCAGCUGAGUUUGUGGCUGCACAUUGUCAUAAACCGCUUUUGUAAUAUGCAAUUUGUUAUAUUGACAUCACACUAAUUAAAACAUGUAUAUCAUAGCAAUAUAUCAGCUUGCUGAUAGUAAAAGCCCUUCGAAGUAAUGAGAAAUGCUUGAUGUAUAUAGCUGAUUUAGGAAGGAAUGUAGAAGUGCACAAUUUUAAAGAUCAUGUCUUGAAACAUAUUAUUAAAUACAAACUUUCCAACGACUUGAAUUACCUAACUAUUAGUUUUUUUUUUUUUUUUUUUUCCUUAUACUCCAAGUAUGUAUAGAGAUAGGGUUUUCUCUGUAGGGUUUUAAAGUUCUUUUGAAACUUCUCUUAGCCAACAAAUGUGGUUGAUGAGGUAUCUGAUCGGCUGUACCAUUGGUUAUCUCAGAGAGCGGCCAAGUCUCAUUCGGUGCCGUUCUCGGUACACUCGUACGCGGUUGGGACUUUUGUCUUUAAAGAAGAAGGUCGUUCCCAUGGCUUUUAUGACGAUGAUGGCCUCUCUGUGGGACUUGAAGAGUGGUUUGCAGAUCAUGACUCAAGGAGAUCGAUACAUCCAGCAUUUCAAUGAGGAAGCAGUUGGUGGAGGUUGGGCCAUGGUUCUACGGAAAAACCGUGUUUCGCUUAAUGUACUAUGAUGGCCGCACAAAUGCAACUACGGUUAUGAUCUGUUCUCUACCAGUUUGGGUGGAAGUUCUCGAUCUCUCACCGAUUUUGAUGACCAAAGAAGCUUUGUAUAUGUAGGCGUUAUCCUGGGAAGAUAAUUCAUCAUGAAAAUCCUAAUAUGCUUUCAGGAGCAAGAGCUAGGGUUCAUAUUGAACACAACCUCAACUCUCCGGUGAAACAAGCCUAUCCGCCGAUAUGAUACAAUUUGAGAGAAGGUAAAGAUCUUAUAUUUGUUAUAUUUGAUACAAUAUGGGUGUAUGUGCGACUAUUGCAAGACCUGUGGGCUACUUGAACACCCGACAACUGGUCAUUAGACUCUGACUGACAUGUCGGCGGCGAUGCUUUUUGUGUGUGGAGGUCUGGGUUCAAACGCUAACCCUAGCCCCCAUAAGCUUCCCUACGAGCAGUACGUAAGAAUCCAUUUCUGGCUUCGGGUUCCACUCACCCUAGCCGGAGUUCAAAGCUGCGGGUCCCCUUAUCUUCUCCCAACCAGCUACUCCCUUUCUGGUGCCCCCAAUCACGGAGGUGGAGCUUCCCUACAUUCAAAGGUAAGAAGCAAGAUACUUCUAUUAUUGUGGGCGUUGAUCUUGGUAAGCAUCCUAAGGGUCUCAUUCAAUUGUUGGAGGCUGCCCCGAUGAACCUUGGUCCUAUUUUGGAACUCUCUCUCCCUACCUUUAUAGGUUCCCUUAUUGUUUCUCUCCUAAAGAAACGUAAGGUAGGUAGACUAGUGAGAUUGAGGAACAAACAGAAACAGGAGAGCAUUCCUCUAUGGAAGUUGUUGAUCAAUGUCAAUGCUAAAAUAAUGAAGCAGAAGAAAAUAGUACAUGGGAUGGUCAAACGUGCGCUUACAAUUAAAGAGAUACCAAAGCUGGUGUCAGAGAUGUUACCUACUACGUCUGACGUAUGAUGGUCCACUACUGGAAAAAAACACUUAGGAGACGGAAUUAUUUCGUAAGAGACAAAUUUCAUCUCCUAAGUACUUAGGAGACGGAACGUCCGUCGGCUAAAAUCCGUCGCCUAGGUGUGGUGAGGUAGACACUUAGGCGACGGAACCUAAAAUUUCGUCGCCUAAGUGGUUCUUAGGAGACGGAAUACUUUCGUCUCCUAAGCACUUAGGCGACGGAUUUUAUUUUACAAUUAAAAAAAAAUUAUCCACUUAGGAGACGGAAUAGUUGAAUUCCGUCGCUAAAGAUGAAAAAAAAUUUAAAAAUAAAAAUAAAAACGCCAAUUAGUGAACCCAGUAGAAGUUUACUGCCCCCUAGUAAACUUCUACUGCAGUAAACUUCUACUGGGGGUCAGUAAAAUUCAAUACAAUAUAUUCUUUUCAAUUUCAUGCCAAUUAUACACAACAGAUACUCAUUCUUACCCUAAUAAACAAAUUCAUUGCCCCCUAGUAAACCCAGUGGAAGUUUACUGCCCCCUAGUAAACUUCUACUGGGGGUCAGUAAACUUCAAUACAGUAUCUUCCUUUCAAUUUCAUGUCAAUUAUACACAACAGAUAUUUAUUCUUACCUUAAUAAACAAAUUCAUUGCCCUCUAGUAAAUACAGUGGAAGUUUACUGCCCCCCAGUAAACUUCUACUGGGGGUCAGUAAACUUAAAUACAGUAUCUUCCUUUCAAUUUCAUGUCAAUUAUACACAACAGAUACCCAUUCUUAUGCUAAUAAACAAAUUCAUUGCUCCCUAGUAAACUUCUACUGGGGGUCAGUAAACUUCAAUACAGUAUCUCUCUUUUAAUUCAUGCCAACAAUCUGCCCCAAAUAUACCACCACCACUGUACCAAAUAAUCACCAUGCCACCACCCUCAUAUCAAUCACAUCCUAACCAAAAUUAAAAUCAAAAUCAAAAUCAAAUUAAACAAAAACACAUAAAUCUAUCACCAAAGCUAAUUAAACCAGAAAAAUUAAAGAACUUACCUUUCUUACCCCUUUGAAAUUUCGAGGGACGGUGGUGGGUCGGCGAGAAGGCUUGGUAGAGAGAGAAAGGUGGAAGCAGCAGCGUCUUAACAACGGCGGGGACGGGUGAGUCGGGUGAGAGAGAAAGGUGACCCAGAUCUAAGGCUUGGUGCAAGAGAAAGGGAUGAGGACCUUGUUGGCGGCGAGGACGGGUGAGUCGGGUCAGGUCGAGAGGGGGAGGUUGUUGGCUCCGAGGAGGGUGCGGAGGUGGCCGGGUGAUGUUGAAGAGGGUCUUGACGGCAUUGAGAGUGGUGGCGUAUGUGGGGACGAAGUUGGAGGUGGCAUUGGUGGGGGUGGUGCAGUUGAAGGUGGCGGCGGAGGAAGGAGUGGUGAGAAUGGAGAGAGAGGCCGACAUGAGAGUGAUGGUCUAGAGAGAGAGAGAGAGAGAGAGAGAGAGAGAGAGAGAGAGAGAGAGAGAGAGAGAGAGAGAGAGAGAGAGAGAGAGAG
rnacentral:lncRNA from 1 species